UUUGAGUUUCUUAUCAGGAGGAGUUGACGAAAGAACUCCCAGUUCAGUCCCGGGGUAUAUCGGUUAGAUGACUACCUGCCACAGUCUCAGUUUCAGUCUCAGUCUCAGUAAUAAAACUCAGAUAGUUCAUCAGAAUAUAGACUGUCAGAUACAGUCAACUCAAAUACAAUAUGAAACUCAGUUAGUUCCAUCAGAUUCAGGACUGUCAGAUACAAGCACUUAUGCUAUCAGUUAUAUAAGUUAUCAAACCUCAUGUUAUCAGUAUUCAGCUUCAGGACUGUCAGAUAUAGUCAACCAAAAAAGUUCUUCAUAGUCAAAACUAUCAGAAAUGGUCAUUCAUGUAUUAGUAAUAUAAUUUUACUCCUUCAGUAUUCAGUAAUACAGUAUCAGUUCCUCACUUAUCAGUGACUCAUAUAUCAGGAUCAGUAAACUUAGUUAUUCAGUAUCCCAGUAUUCAUAAUCCCAGACGUCAGGUUACCAUAUUAUCAGUAGACUCAGUAGUCAGAACCUAGUAUUCAGCCCCAUCACGAUCUCAGUUUCAGUUACGUAGUCAUACAUGUAUUCUCACAUUUAUAUCAUUCAGUCAGUUAGUAUUGUUCAAGCAUAUGGACCAUUUGUAUUCAGUUUACCUCACUUACACACCAGUACAUUCCAACGUACUGAUGCAUUCGCGCUAUGGUGUUUUAUUUUACACCAUAGGUUUAGGAGCACGAGAUCCAGAGCAUCAGUAGCAUUUUAAAUUUUAGCAAACAGAGUUAGCAGUGAGUCCUCAUCAUUUGAGGAUGAUAUUAUUUGAUUAUGUAACUCUUUCAGUACUUAUCUAUUUUAGUAGAUGGAGUUAGUUGGGGACAUGUCCCAUCAACUCUUUAUUCAGACAGUUUAGAGGCUUUCAGACUAUAGCAUGUCAGACAGUUACUUCAGAUUUGUUUUGGUAGUGAUUGUACCAUUUUUCAGAUAUUAUUUUAUCAGAUAUUUUAUUCAGUUUUGAACCUUAUGUCCUUACAGCUUCUAUUUCAUAUUUUACAGUAUAUAUAUACAUAUAUACCGUACAGGUACAUAUAUCAGUCAUGGGUUAGCUUGUGAUCCUUCGAGGUCAUGAGCACUGUGUAGCAUUUCGGGCACCAGAUUUGAGGCGUUACAAACUUAGUAUCAGAGCUUAAGGUUUAAUAGUAUCCAAGGAAGUCUGAAAGUCAUAUCUAGUAGAGUCUUGUACAUGGGUGUGUUGUGCAUCACGCUUAUGUGCAGGAGGCUAUGAGAUGUUUUAGGAAUAGUUUCCCUUCUUUCAGUAUUCAUGUUGUGCCAAUGAGCAUAAACUCUAGUUAAACUCUCAUUCUAAUCCGCUUCUUCCUUUCGUUUACAGAACAUGCCUCCCAAAAGGACUAACGAAAGGGAAACCAAAAAUUAGUCAGUGCCUCAGCCCAUCCAGCCAGAUUCUCUGAAUGAGCAUAUCUCUCAUGUAGAAUUUAGGACUGCAUUUACUACUCUAGCCAAUUCAGUCGUAGCUCAGAAUUAACGGCCAGCUGCUAUUUCGGCCAAUCGAGUGGCCAAUAUUGCUGCAGUCAGGAUUCGGGACUUCACCCGAAUGAAUCCUCCUCUAUUCACCGAUUCUAAGCUCAAAAAAGAUCUACAUGAGUUCCUCGAUUAGGUUCAAAAAGUCGCAGACAUCAUGGGAGUGACUUCUAGUGAGAGCGUCAUACAUGGUAUAAACAGUGAAAGGUAUAUAGGGGUUCAGAGACAGAUGCCAUAUAGUGGGAAGAGUUUGCUACAACCUUUUUAGAUAGAUUUUUUCCCCUAGAGCAGAAAGAAUCCAAAGUGUUAGAGUUCAUCAAUCUCAGACAAGGUUCCAUGAGCGUAAAUAAUACUCCCUUAAGUUCAUUCAGUUAACUAGGUACGCUCCCAAUGUAAUAGCAGACAGUAGAUCUAGAAUAAGUAAGUUUGUAUCAGGGGUAUUACGUAGAGUGGCUAAGGAGUACAGGACUGUGAUAUUGAUUGGUGACAUGGACAUAUCUAGGCUUAUGGUCUAUGCCCAGCAGAUCGAAGAGCAGAAGCUUAAUAAGAAGAAGAGAGAAAAUAAGAGAGCCAGAACAAGUAGUUAUAGUUUUGCUCAUCAUGGGUCACAAGGUUGCAGUCGUUCUCAGUUGUGUCAGAAAUGUUCAGCCCAGUUCACUCUUUAGCUAGUGCACCAAUACCAAAGUUCAAAAAUGAUCGUAGGAAUGGGGCAUCAGGCUCCAAGGCCCAGAGUAGUGAGAACUAGAUUCUUACUCAUCCGCUUUGCGAAGAGUGUGGUAAGCAUCAUAAGGGGGUGUGUAGAGCCGACAGUAAUGUAUGUUUCAGUUGUGGAAAGCCAGGCCACAGAGUCAGAGAUUAACCCCAGUCAGGUUAUCAGAGUCAUCUCUGCUCCUCAGCUUAGUCCAAUCACACGAAUCAGCAGGGUUCCACUUCCAAUGCUAUUAGUGAGCAAUACCCAAACAGACUCCAUGCCCUUCAGUCCCAACGAGAUCAGGAAAGUCCUCCUGAUGCAGUCACUAGUAUGUUACAGACCUUCCAUUUAUAUGUUUGUUCUUUCUUAUCUCAUCAGAUUCAUGGGUUUCUUUACUGUUGUAGCCUUGCAUAGUAGUUAAACUUUAAGGUCAGGAAGUCAGGACUUCAGAUUCUAGUUACAAUUAUAGUAUGUGUAGAAAAUCACUAAGGGAAGAUGAUUCCCGACCUACUCUUAUCUCAGUGCAAUUAUUUUGUACCCCAGUUAUCACCUUACCUACGCAUGUUUCACAUACCUCCCAUAGGAUCGUGUGCGUGUUGAAUUCCUAGCAUAACGAGUUCCAAUACCCUCAGUAGUACGAGUCAUGUUCCAUGAACACAAAAAAUUCAAACUUAGGUCAUGCAGCUCAUGACUCAGGCACUCAUGUCAUGUUUUACCAUAUGUUCAGUUCACAUGACUCAUGCUUUACUCCUAGUGAUCAGUCAAGCUCAGAUUACAUCAUGUAUACCCUCAGUUUAAAUCUCUUGAUAAAUCCAUAAUAUUGGUAUUCCGUUCCUCAGGCCUUAGUCGAGUGUUGAGUUUGAUAUAGUAUUUGUUUGAGCAUCAGAUCCUUGCAUAUGUCAAUCUUUCCCAAAUAGUUAUCAGUAUCCAGUAUCAGUACUUCAAUAUCAGUCUAAACUUCAUUUAUCAAAAACCAACAUUAAUUUCCUGUAUGAGUCCCAAUUAUAGACUAAGUUACAGUUUCUACUACAGUCUUAGACAUAGUAUCAGUCUCAGCCUCAGCUCAGAAGUCAGAUCAGUACCACAGUCCAACUUCAGGUAUGGCUUGACCAAAGCAUGUAGUUAUCAUUCCUGCAUGUUAUCAGUGUUUUAGUACCUCAACUUACAGAAUAUUUCCAGAGCAUGUUAUCCGUCUGGCCUUGCGUCCUCGGGUAAUUCAGUAUUUCACGAAUUCACGCUUAGCUGUCUCAUGUUACUCAGUUAGUCCCUUUCUCAUGUUCAUAAGAAAAACUCCAUAUCCUCAGCCCAGUUAUUCAGACUAAGUACCGUUCAAUCUCGUAAGCUCAGUACCUAACCAAUAAUCAGUCAGCAGAGCAGAUGAGUCAGUCGGUAGGGAAUUGGUUUAAACAGCCAGUACUUCAGUCUAGCAGUCAGUCAGACAAGUUCGUACAGUUUUGUUUCCCAUCUUUCCAUCUAUUUGCGCUAUCCAAAAUCUCAUAAAUAAAACCAUUAUGAGAUGAAUCAACUAGGUAGAUGCGGGCUCAACUCGGUUCAUGUGUUAUACCUCAGUUUCAGAUCUCAGAUAAUCAAUCACGAUUCUAUUCCUAGGUGCCUUGUGUAUCACCUCGAUUUUUCUCAAUAUCUCAGAAAAGUCAACCCAGCAUUCUUCAAGGGACAUAGUAUCUCAAGGGGGAGAUAUGCUAUAAUUCCUCAAAACCUUCAUAACAUAAGAAUCUGAAUCUCUCUACUCACGUAAUGAAUCUAGUUUGGAGUAGAGGAUACUUAUAAGUUGACCCUUAAGCUCCAAGCUCAGUUACACACCAUGUUUCAAGACUCGGUUUAGCUCACGAAAAUCAGUUCAUGCAUCACGUUCCAGUAUUAGUCAUGUUCUCAUAUGCCCGUAUAUGCAUACUUCUAGCAUAACAUGGGUUCAUCAGUACUUUUCAGUUUCCAUAACAAUUUUCUUGAACCUACUCAGUUCCUUGUUCAAACUACCAUUACAAACCUGAUAUUAGAUUCCCAUUACAAACUUGGUGUCAAUCACCAUUUUGACAUUUUGUCAUGCGUUCAUUUAUUCGCUCAGUCACGUAAUCAUGCAUCAGAUAUGCAUUCUCAUUGUGAGAAAUUCUGUUCAUCAGAACAUUCAGUCAUGUCUCCAUGAGUCAAUUAUCCAUGCAUCAGAUAUUCAUGAAUUCAGAUUAUCAGUCAUGCAUCAGAUAUGCAUGUUCUGUAUGUUAUAUUUAGCUCUUCAGUUAUAUCAGUCAUGAUCGCAUAUUUUUAAUUGUGUAUGUUCUAUGCGUUCAUCAGUUGAUCUAUUCUCCCAUCUCAGUCAGCCUCAUUCAAAGACGAAUAUUUCCAAGGGGGAGAUAUUGUAAGACCCCCCAAAAUCUUGCGGUUAAAUUCAGCUCGUUUAGCUCCUUGAAGCUUUUUAAAAGAUCCAACACUUAGAAAAUUUUGAUAAGUGUUCAACACUUAGUCUCAUUUUAAGCCUCUGAACUUUGGAAAAUUAUUUAAUGACCUUCCCGACAUCUGUUUUACGAUUUUCAAAUUUCGCUGCGAUGGGGCAAGACAAGAGUACAUUCUAAGUAAAUUUUGGAAUUUUCAGAAUCCGUUUAGGGCUCAUUUGGAUUUUAAACCAGUAGCCAAAGGCUAUGAAGGGGUGCUGCCUAUGGUAUAGCCUUUAUGGGCAAUUAAACACCAAAGGCGCCGCCCAAGUUCCACAAGGCGAUACCAAAGGCGUCGCCCAAGUACAAAAGGCUAUACCAAAGGUGCCGCCCUUUGUGUAGCCUUUGUACCCAGUUUUUCAGCAUUACACUUACGUGUCUUAAGGGCAAUUUGGUCAAUUUUCCCACCCUAUAUAAGCCUAAUAACAUAAGUUUUGGCCAUAAUUCAGCAACUUAUAUUCAAUUUCUCUCAAAAACUCUCAAGAACAAACCCUAGGAUUUUCAUAAGAGGUUCAAUUCCAAGGGAAUUCACCGUCAAAUUUUAAGAAUCUUUUCGUCAAUCUUCAUAGAAUCACAAGCUAAGGUAUGCAUAGUACUUAUUCAUAGAUUCCUUUCAUCCAUAAAGCCCAAGAACCCUCUUUUAAAUUCUAUAUCAUGAUAUUUAUGUGGUGAAUGGAUUAUGUUCAUGUUAUUGAUGUUGAAUGAUUCCCAAGUUGGAAUCUUUAUGUGUUUUUAUGAAUCUAUGAUAUCAUAUGAGUUGGAAACAUGUAAAUUUGGUUGUUCAUGAUGAAUAAUUUGUUGAUUACACCUAUGCCUAAGUUGUGCAUGUAAGGUGUUUGAUAAAAUUCCUAAAAGACUAGAAAUCAUGCAUUAUAGUUACAUUGUGAACUAAAUGACAAAUGUAUGCUACACCUUAAUCAAAAUAAUAACUUCUAUGAUAUUAUUAUGCAUUAUGAUUUUUGAUGGAAUGUUCAUGAAACUAGAUUGAUGGACUUAUGGCAUGUUGUUAUAUGUAUUCCCUUCCAUGUAUAAGACUUUGAGAACCAUGUGUAGUAUAAAAUCCCCUAACUUAUGCUAUUAUGAAUUAUGAAUAUUGGUCCAAGUGUUGAAGAAGAGUCAAGUGAUGUUGUGUCAAUUUCCUUCUAUUGAGUCCUGAGGGUACUUAUACCCAAAAAGUAUAGUUGUAUGCCUAGAUCCAGUGUCAUGUUUUCACAAUAUCCUCAAUCAAGCCGUGAUCCAUAGAACUCAGUCAGUCAUGUGACUCAGGAAAGCUCAGCAACUCAGAAAUCUAAAAAAUCCAGUAAUCCCAGUAGUUCAGUAAUCCCAAUGAACUCAAUACUCAGUAAUCUCAGAAACUUUAGUAUUCUCAUUAAUAUCAGUAACUUUAGUACUCUCAAUCAGUCCUCAGAUCUUAAAAGUAUUCCGUCGAUCAACAGAACUCAGUAAACUCAGUUCAGCUCAGCUAAACUAUACCAUCAGUAUCAGCUCUGUCCAGUAAAAUAGCUUACUAUCUAUUCAGCUGGGAGUAGGAUUCACCAUCGAGUGAACCUAGGGAUAAGGAUACACACUGUCAGCCAGUAGAGGGUGCGAUCCUUAGUAGCAAUCCCUGCGUUGCAGAAUUACGUAGCCAGCGUAGGUAGAGAUGCACCCUAUGAGUUUAGGGAUUUAUACAUCUCAUUUGAGUUUUCUAUCAGGAGGGGUUGACAGAAGAACUCCCUGUCAGUGAGGGUAUAUUACAGCUUGUCUUUACCCGUGGCACGGUACUGACUCCUUUCUAGCUUAGGUUACAGGUUAGACCCCACCAGUUCAGUUCUAGGGUAUGUCAGUUAUAUGAUUACCUCCCACAGUCUCAGUUUCAGUCUCAAUCUCAGUCUCAGUAAUAGAAUUCAAAUAGUUCAUCAGAAUAUAGACUAUCGAUACAGUCAACUCAGAUACAGUAUGGAACUUAGUUAGUUCUAUCAGAUUUAGGACUGUCAGAUACAGUCACUUAUGUUAUCAGUUAUAUCAGUUUUUAGUCCUCAUGUUAUCAUUAUUCAGCUUCAGGACUGUCAAAUAUAGUCAACCAGGCCAAGUGUUUCAUAAUCAAAACUGUCAGAAACGGUCAUUCAUGUAUCAGUAACAUAGUUUUAGUCCUUCAGUACUCACCAAUAUAGUACUAGUUCCUCACUUAUCAGUGAUUUAGAUAUCAGGAUCAGUAAACUUAGUUAUUCAGUAUCCCAGUAUUCGUAAUCCCAGACGUCAGGGUAUCCAUGUUAUCUGUAGACUCAGUAGUCAGAACCUAGUAUUCAGCCCCAUCACGAUCUCAGUUUUAGUUACAUAUUCAUGCAUGUAUUCUCACGUUUAUAUCAUUCAGUCAGUUAGUAUUGUUCAUGCAUAUGAACCAUUUGUAUUCAGCCUACCUCACUUACACACCAGUACAUUCUAACGUACUGAUGCAUUUGCGCUAUGGUGUUUUAUUUUACCCUAUGGGUUUAGAAGCAUGAGAUUUAGAGCAUCAGUAGCAUUCUAGAUUUCAGCAAACAGAGUUAGCAGUGAGUCCUCAUCAUUUGAGGAUGAUAUUAUUUGAUUAUGUCACUCUUUCAGUACUUAUCUAUUUUAGUAGAUGGAGUUAGUUGGGGACAUGUCCCAUCAACUCUUUAUUCAAAUAGUUUAGAGGCUUUCAGACUAUAGCAUGUCAGACAGUUACUUCAAAUUUGUUUUGGUAAUGAUUGUACUAUUUUUCAGACAUUAUUUUAUCAGAUAUUUUAUUCAGUUUUGAACCUUAUGGCCUUACAGCUUCUAUUCUACAUUUUACAGUAUAUCUAUACAUAUGUACCGUAUAUUAUGCAGUGUAUAGAUACAGAUAUCAGUCAUGGGUUAGUUCGUGGUCCUUUGGGGUCAUGAGCAUCAUGUAGUGUUUUGGGUACCAGAUUCGGGGCGUUACACAUAAUUUGUACUUUGAAAGUCCUUGAGCUAAGUCUUGUCUAUAAGGAAAUAGUUAAAGAAUAUCUUAUAAAUAAAAACAUAACGUGGUAGAGUCAACUCUUGUCCGUGGGGCAUAAUUUGUAGUUUGAAGGUCCUUAGGUUAAUUAAGUCUUGCCUCUAAGGCAAUAGUUGUAGAAUAUUUUAUAAAUAAAAACAUAACGUGGUAAAUUCAACUCUUGCCCGUGGGGCAUAAUUUAUAGUUUGAAAGUCUUCGAGCUAAGUCUUGCCGCUAAGGCAAUAGUUGUAGAACAUCUCAUAAAUGAAAACAUAACAUGGUAGAGUCAACUCUUGCCCAUAGGGCAUAAUUUGUUGUUUGAAAGUCCUUGAGCUAAGUCUUGCCUCUAUGGACAUCUCAUAAAUGAAAACAUAACGUGGUAGAGUCAACCCUUGACCGUGGGGUAUAUUUAUUGUUUGAAAGUCCCUGAGCUAAGUCGUGCCUCUAAGGUAAGAAUUAUAAAAUAUCUCAUAAAUCAAAAUACAAUGUGCUAAUGUCAACUCUUGCCCAUGAAACAUAACUUUUUGUUUGAAAAUCAUAAGUCUUGUCUCUACAAUGUGGUAGUGUCGACUCUUGCCCAUGAAACAUAGCUUGUUGUUUGAAAGUCAUAAGUCUUGUCUUUAUAAUGUGAUAGUGUCAACUCUUGCUCAUUAGAUUUAACUUGAAUGGAAGAAAUCAAUGAAAAAAAUAAAAAUAAUAAAAAUUACGAAAAAGAAGAAAAUGAAGAAAACUAUUUAAAAAAUAAAAAUCAAAGAAAAUGUAGGAGUUGAGAGAAAAUGAGAAAAAAAUAAAGGUUGAUAAAAAUAAAAAAAUAUUAAAUAAAAGUAAAGGUCGAGAAUUUUUUUUUUAAAAUAAAAAAUAAAAAUCAAAGAUAAAUAAAAUAAAAUUAUAAAAGUAAAUGUUGAGAGGUGUUAAGAUAAAAAUAAGGGUUGAGAAAAAUUUAAAAAAAAAAAAAAGAGGAAAGAAAAAUAAAAAAUCAAAGUAAAAGAAAAAAGAAAAAAAAAGAUGUUGGGAGGAAAAAUGGAAAAAAGUAAGGGUUGAGAAAAAUCAAAAAUAAAAAGAUUAAAGAAAAAUAAAAAUUAUAGUAAAAUUAAAAAGAGAAAAAAAAUAAAAGUUAAAAGAUAUAAAUAUGGAGUUGUUAUCCAUUAUGAGGAUCCUUUAUGUGAUUUAUUCCAUUAGUCAGGGGUAAUUUCGCCCUAAAAUAUUAGUUAAGAGGUAAAGGAUAUUUUAAGAAAACUUUUUUAUUUGGGGCUAAAUUUGAAAGUCAUCCCAAUUUAGGUCUAUUCCUGAAAAUUACCCAUUUUAAAUUAGUUUGCACCUAGCCCAAAAAAGUUUCGACCGAUUGGGCGGGUUAAGCCUUAACAGGUUUAUUUUUAUAGUCCUAUAUGUUAAAGUCGCACUAACAAGCAGUCAUUAAAGUGUUGAUGAAGUAAAACCCUAGAAUGUACAGAAAAGAGUUAGAGAGAGACAGAAAUAAGAUGAAUUAAUGCUUUUUGAAUAUGAAAUGUUCAACCGAUCUUACAAAAAUAUAUGUUCCUAUACAUGUACAUAUUAAGCUAAGGGAGAAAAAAUGUAAAUUAACAUCUUUAUAAAAAAAAUUUGGUGAAAUGUGCUUCGUCCUAUCUCCUUGAAUCCUUCCUUAAGUUGUGUUGUGCAUACUACAUUAUCCUCAUAAAAAAAUCAUGGAUACUUUAUCACAUUUCAAAUCACAUUUUUUAUGAAUAAGAUGUAUCGUGGACCUCAACCACAUACACUCAUGACUUGCUUCUUGAAUAGCUAUUAUCUCAGCAUGGUUCAAUGAAGUGGCUAUGAUAGACUGUUUUGUAUAUCUCCAAGAUAUGGCAAUACCCUCACAUAUGAACACAUAGCUUAUUUAAGAUGGAGUUUUAUACGGUUAAGAUAAGUACCUUGCAUCAGCAUAACCAACAAGAUCGGAACUAUAAUCUUUAGAAUAAAAUAAGUUCGUAUGUUUUGAUGUCUUCUAGUAGGAGCAAAACUAUACCUUUCUAACAAAUUGAUUGAAAAGACUAUGAGAUAAUGUUCACUUAAGGGAAAAAUAUAAAUAAAUAUUUUUAGAUAGUUUAAUGCAAGAUAUAGCAAAACAUUAAAUAUUGCAACUUAUAGCAAAUUUUUGGUAUAAAAAUAAAAUUUUAAUAAAAAGGUAAAAUACAAAUCACAUAUAAGGAAAAAAAGAUUUUAUACCCAUAAAAAAAUGGUAGUUAUUAUCAGGAUAUCAAUCGUUCUUUUUUUUUUCUCUCUGAAAAGAUUUUAUUUUCUUUAACCAUAUCUUUUUUCUCCUUCUUCAUCAAUCAUACGUUUUUUUUUUCAAUUCUUCAUUAUCAAGCAUAUCAUUUUUCUUCUUCAUCACAAUUUUCUUUUAAAUUGAUUCAUCCUAAUUGUCGUCUUCUUCUUCUAUUUAUUUAUUUAUUUAUUUAUUUAUUUAUUUAUUUAUUCAUAUGUAGGUUAUUUGGUUGUUUGAAGAGGUUUUAGAUCCACUUUGUCAAAGCUAAUUGCAACAGUGGUGAUUUUCCACAGAGUGCUUAGUUCGUUGGGCGUUGAGGGCUGUGACUAUGGAUGUAAUAGUGUGUUGUUGAAUUCAUUGUUGAUUAAAGCAAUUUACAUUCAAGUAAAGAAAUUCGGAAGAUAGAAGAUCUAUAUUCAAAUAAUUGUUUUGGUGUCCAAAGCAAUAAUCAUUCGAAUAUAGAAGAUCGAUAAAUUUAGAUAUUGAACAUGAUAUGAUUAGUUGUUUUUGUUUUUCUAUAUACAUAUUGAUUGUAUUGUAUGAAAGAUGUAUAUAACUUAUUAUUGUAUGGAAAAAAAGUAUAUAAAUUAAUGUCUCAUAUGAUUUGAUUAGUUGUUUGGAAUUGCAUGACAAGAGUAUAUAAAAAGGUAUAUACAUUGAUGUCUCAUAUGAUGUGAUUAGUUUUUUUGUAUUAUAUGAAAAAAAUAUAGGAGUAUAGAAAAAUAUAUAAAUUGAUGUCCCACAUGAUAUGAUUAGUUGUUUCGUAUCAUAUAAAAAGAGCAUACGAAAAAUGAAUAUAAUUUUUAUUUUAUAUGAUGUAAUUGGUUGUUUUGUAUUGCUUUAAGAAAAUAUAUAAAUUGGUAUAAAAUUGUAGCACUGUAUGAAUUCAAUAUGUAAUAUGCUAUUUUAUAUAUUGAGUAAAAUAUUUUACUUUUCAAAUAUUGAGUUUGUAUUGAGGAAACUACAUACUGCAAAUAAUUUUACAAAAUAACAUUACAUUGCCGACAUUGAUACUCUAAUUUCAGGGAUAACUAAAAAAAGGCAACUUUGUUAUGUCAAAUAACUCAACUUAAAACCACAUGCAAUUUGUGUAUACAUAUAUAUCUACACUCGUUUCAUGAUUUGUUCGAUACAAAUUCGGAUAAAAAAAACCACAAAUAAAAAUCACUCCAUCCACAAAAUCUUAUUGAUAUUCACUUGAAUGUAUAUUCUUAUAGAAGAUGAGAGAGGGAGUAAAAAGAGGUGAGAAUAAAUAUGAUUAUUAAGGUACAUAUAGGAUAAUUUUCACUAACUAAUAACAUGAUAAUUAAGGUAAGAUGAAAAGAUAAACACAAACAGAAUUUUGCCCAAUAGCAAAGGAAAGAAUAUAAUUAAUUUAUCAAAAUUUACUCUCCUAAUAACUACAAACACAAUAAUUAAGACAAGCUAUUUACACUCCAUAUCACAUUGUCACACCCCUUUUUAUCAAAAAGAUUGAUUUUAAGAUUAAAAGAGUUUUAUUAUUAAGUGACAAAAGAAAAUAAUUUAUUUUGAAAAGGACUUUUAACAAUCAAAACUCAGAGUCAUCACUUGGCAUAAAUCAGAUGUGCCAAUUCACUUUUGGAAAUCCUUUUUCAAAAUAUUUUUUUAACUCUUUCAAAACUGAUCCACGAACAGAGAUUUCGGUUAAGGAAUUCUAUUGACCGAGGGAAAGGUGUUAGGCACCCCUCGAUCCCGUGGUUCGACCACGAUCGCUCCGUGAGCUAUAUCGGUUAGUGUGACACUAUGAAAUGUAUAAACCAACAAAACACACAAAAAAGAAAACAAACAAUCAAACAAUUCAAAACUCAAAAAAAGUAUCUAGUUCAAUUUAUUACAAACCGAAAUAAAAAUGCUGAAAUUAAAACCUAACUAUUCUAACUAUCUUAUGCUAUGCUUUACCGAUGCCUCGGGCCUUGAUCAUGAUCGGUUUUCUAAGUAAAAAGUAUUGCAGGCAUUCUCCGGUGAUGAAUACAAUUUUCCUCGGGGCAUUUCCUGGCCAAAUAAGUACAUAAAAUUUAGAAAGGUCAUUCAACACAUUCAAACGUUCAACAAUCCACUAUCCCUAAGUUUUGCCUACCCGACCUAAGAUUUGCCUAUCGAUUUUUGGCCUAACACAUGAUACUAUCGAGUUCAGCAAAAUUAGCAUCAUUUUCAAAUGAAACAACGAUCAAUGAAUCAAAAUAAUUAAUAUUCACAUUUUUAUCAAUUUUUUCAAUUCCCGCCCCAAGUUUCUUUUUUAACAUACAAAUUUCCCACAUGAAAAACGGUUAUCCACCAAUAUUAACAUCAAUGUUGUACCAUAAUCAAUCAUUCAACGUCAAACAUCCACAAAGAAACACCCAAUCAUAAUUAUUAAACAACCAUAACAUCAAUCCAACAAAUCAAGAUAAAAAUGAAGAGAAAGAGUUAAAAAAAUUGGACCUUCGAUAAAGCUUUCGAAAUUGAUGUAUUAUCCUGAUUAAACACGAUGGAAUUCGCUUCCGAAAACUCGAAUCAAGCCUCAAUACGAACCCCAAAUCAACAAAAUCCCAACCAACGGAGAAACUUCAAAACAAAACCCAAAUCAUAACUUUCAAAAUAAGGCUUAAAUGGUUGAACUCGAAUUCCCCUGAUUUGCCUCAAACUCAAUGACUCUCUACACUUUUAUGGUAUUUUAUGGUGGCAGUUGUUGUCCGGAGCUAUUGUGUAUCCACUGGGCUAUUUUUCGGUGGAUUUUGAUAGAAAUUAAUUUAUUUUGGGGUGGGUUUAAGCUGGACUCACCGUUUUUAUUUUACCGCAGCUCCGACGAGCUCGAGAAGUGACGGGAAACAGUGAACAACUCAAAUUUUGAGCGUCAAUAGCAUUUUUUGGUGAGAAUUCGUUGAAACAGUCAUCCCAAUCGUUUCUCUCUUCUCUCUCACUCAAAGCUCUCUGGUUUUCUAUGGAUUUCUCUAUCACCUCACCGUGUUCUUUUCUCUUUUCUAAUUUUGUGUAUGUGCGUCGUUGUAUUUGUGUAGUUGUGUGUGCAGGAUGUGUGUAUAUGUGUAUUAUGAGUUUGUGCGUAUGUGACUUUUGUGAAUGUGUGGCGAGAGUUAUUUUUUAUUGUGUGUUCUGUUUCCUCUACAUGAGAGUAUGUAGUGUGUAAAUUGCCUUUUUUUCCUCAACAAUAGAGAUAGAGCCGUCUGUAUAUUGUUGUUUAUUCUGUGGAGAAGAGAGGUAAGUGGAAGAGUGUGUUAGUGGGAUUGUUUGGUGUAGUGGUUAUGAUUAGGUGGGGUGGGGGAUAGGUGGGGUAGUGAAGGGCAUGUGGGUUAUAUAGUUAAAUUAUUAAAAAUUUAUUAUUUUUUAUCUUUUUGUAGAAAAAUAUUAAAACAGGGUGGGCGUAUGAUAAGGUGGGGUAAAUGGGUGAAAUUAACUUUCGGGAGGAACAAAAUUAUGUAUCUACAUUAUGCCCCUCUUUGAAUGUAAAUACAAAGUAUUUUCAGACAAAGAAGUAGACAACGAGAUAAAAUUUUGACCUGACCAUUAUUCAAAAGGAACAAAAAAAAGGACGAAGUGAAAUCGAGUAUCGAUUUUGGAUGUCCUACCGAUUCUAAGUUAUGUAGAAGUCAAGUCACAUAUAGUAUCAAGUUGAAAAGAAAAGACUAUACCGAGUUGGAGAGUCGAGUGAGGUCUUGUCGAGAUUCCGGUCCGCGGCUCUAUCACUACAUCAAAAUAAAAUUACAAGUUAAAAAGAUAACUGACAUUACAAAAGUCCUAUCUAUACAACUUCUCUUGACUCUGGACUUGAGUGUUCAAUGCUUUCAAAAGUGAUAAAUAAUCUGAUCUGCCUUGAGUUGAACUUGAAAAUAGAUUCUUUCUCCAUACAAAAUUUGGUGUUGGAGAUGAACUCAAAAACUAACCAUGCUCUAUAGGUGGUACUUCUAAAUUUGAACCAGAAUUUGAAAAUCUUCGCUAUAUUCUCCAGGUGAGAUUGUGACUUAUAAUCUUUCACCUUAUCGUUUGGCUUUUAAUUUUUUCAUCUUGUUGUUUGACUUUAUAUUUCUUCACCCUGUUCUCCAGAUGGGCUCCUAUCUUUCAUUUUCUUAUUCACCUUAUUCACCAGGCGGGCUCUUGACUUUUAAUUUUUCACCCUAUUCUCCAAGUAGGCUCCUAACUUACAAUUUCAUCACCUGAUUCUUCAAACGGGCUCCUGAAUUUUAAUUUUUUUACCCUAUUCUCCAGGCGGGCUCCUGACUUUUAAUUUCUUUGCCCUAUUCUCUAGGCGAGCUCCUGACUUUCAAUUUCAUCACUUUAUUCUCCAAGCGGGCUCCUGACUUUCAAUUUCAUCAUCCUUUUCUCCAGGCGCGCUCCUGACAUUCAAUUUCAUUACUUUAUUCUCUGGGCGGGCUCCUGGCUUUCAAUUUCAUCACCUUAUUCUCAAGGCGGGCUCCUGACAUUCAAUUUCUUUACCCUACUCUCCAGACAGGCUCCUGACUUUCAAUUUCUUCACCCUAUUUUCCAGACGGGCUCCUAAAUUUGUAUUACAUCACCUUAUUCUUUAGGUGACCUCCUAAAUUUGUAUUUUAUCGCCCUGUUCUCUAGGCGGGCUCCUGAAUUUCAAUUUCUUUACCCUAUUCUCUGGGAAGGCUCCUGACUUUCAAUUUUAUCACCCUAUUCUCCAGGCGGACUCCUUACUUUUAAUUUCUUCACCCUAUUCUCCAAAUGGGAUUCUGACUUGCAAUUUCAUCAUCCUAUUCUCCAGGUAGACUCCUAACUAUUAAUUUCAUUACCCUAUUCUCCAGGUGGACUUCUGACUUUCAGUUUCAUCACCUUAUUCUAUAGGUGGGCUCCUGACUUUCAAUUUCAUCACCCUAUUCUUUAGGUGGACUCCUGAUGUUCAAUUUUUUCAUCCUAUUCUACAGGUGGACUCUUAACUUUUAAUUUCUUCACCCUAUUCUCCAGCGGGCUCUAGACUUUUAAUUUCAUCACCCUAUUUUCCAGGCGACUCUUGACUUUAAAUUUUAUCACCCUAUUCUUCAUGAGUGCUCCUGACUUUCAAUUUCUUCACCUUAUUCUCCAGGUGGACUCCUGACUUUCAAUUACUUCACCCUGUUCUCCAAGCUAUCUCCUUACUUUUAAUUUCAUCACCCUAUUCUCCAAGAAGGCUCCUGAAUUUAUAUUUUAUUACCCUAUUCAUCGGGCGGGCUCCUAACAUUUUUAUCACUCUAUUCUCAAGGCAGGCUCCUGACCUUCAAUUUCAUCACCAUAUUCUCCAGGCAAGAUCUUGACUAUCAAUUUCUUUACCCUAUUCUCCAGGAGGGCUCCUGAUUUUCAGUUUCUUCACCCUAUUCUCCAGUCGGACUCCUUAUUUUUAAUUUUAUCAUCUUGUUUUUCAGGCGGGCUCCUGAAUUUGUAUUUCAUCAUCCUAUUCUCCAGCGGGCCCCUGAAUUUAUAUUUCAUCACCCUAUUCUCUAGGAGGGUUCCUGAAUUUUAAUUUUUUCUCCCUAUUCUCCAAGCGGGCUCCUGACUUUCAAUUUUAUCACCUUAUUUUCCAAGAGGGCUCUCGACUUUUAAUUUCUUCACCCUAUUCUUUGAGCGAGCUCCUAUCUUUCAAUUUCUUCACCAUAUUCUCUAGACGGGCUCCUGACUUUUAAUUUCAUUACCCUAUUCUCCAGGCGGGCUCAUAACUUUCAAUUUCAUUACCCUAUUCUCCAGGCGGGCUCCUGGCAUUCAAUUUCUUCACCUUAUUUUCCAGACAGACUCCUGACUUUCAAUUUCAUCACCCUGUUCUCAGGCGGGCUCCUAAAUUUAUAUUUCAUCACCCUAUUCUCCAAGCGGGCUCCUGAAUUUGUAUUUUAUCACCCUGUUCUCCAGGUGGACUCCUGAAUUUCAAUUUCUUCACCCCAUUCUCCAGGCAGGCUCCUGACUUUCAAUUUCAUCACCCUGUUCUCCAAGCAGGCUCCUAAAUUUGUAUUUUAUCACCCUAUUCUUCAGGUGGGCUCCUGACUUACAAUUUCAUCACUCUGUUCUCAAAGAAGGCUUUUGAAAUCAAAAUCAAAACUAGAACGAAAAUUAUCCCAAACAAAGAUUAUGAUACAGAAAGAUUCUAUUUUUCGAAGAUAAAGUCUCAUUUUCUAGGAAGGUCCUUAAAAAAGUUAAAGUUCUAUUUUUCUAAAGGGUCCUGACGUAUAAGGUAAAGUCCCAUUUUCCAGAAGGGUCCUGAACAGAAAGUAAAGUCCCAUUUUCUAGGAGGGUCCUGAAGAGAAAGUAAAGUUUCAUUUUCCUAGAGGGUCCUGAACAGAAAGUAAAUUUCCAUUUUCCAGAAGGGUCUUGAACAAAGAGUAAAGUCCCAUUUUCCAGGCCCUCAAGUCCCAUUUUUCAGGAGGGUACUGAACAAAAUAUAAAGUCCAUUUUCAGGAGGGUGCUGAAUAGAAAGUAAAGUCCCAUUUCCAGGAGGGUCCUGAAUAGAAAGUAAAGUCUCAUUUUGUAGGAGGGUACUAAAUAGAAAGUAAAGUCUCAUUUUCCAAGAGGCUCCUGCACCAAAAGUAAAUUCUUAUUUUCUUUCUCAUUUUCCUGGAUGGUACUGAACAAAAAGUAAAGUUCCAUUUUCCAGGAGGGUCUUGAAGUGAAGUUUCAAAUAACAGGAAUUAAAUUUUCUUUUUUUCCCCAGUGUAUCAUCAAACUUUUUUUUGCGGGUGUCAAACUCAAUCACAUUUACUUGCAACAAUGCAUAAUGCAAAGAUGAAUCAACAAGUUCAUCCCUUAAGAUUAAAGUGAGAAAUUCUGACUAAAAAAUGUAUCUUUGGGAUUAAAACUCAAAUUAGGAAGUGCACCUCCUAGCCAUGAGACAUGAAAGACCCAAAUUAGAGAGUGUAUCUCUUAAGGGUACAAGAGGAUAAGUUUUACCAUAAUUGUGAUUAACAAACUUGUACAACAACACUGCCUCUUGCAUUUGCAGAAAUGAGGAAUUGCAUCUUCGGAUAUUUGUGCUUUGAAGCCUUUGAUUUGAUGGUAGCAAGUGUUCCUAUUUCAUACAAAGAAAACCUAUGAGUUUAAAACAUGGUGGUUAGCUUGUGGCUUUGGCUUUUGAGGCAAUUUCUCUUGCACUUGUCCCAUUUAAUUUUAGUUUCAACUAAUGGCAUAUGUCAUUGAAUUGUUACACCAUUAACUCAGGCUCAUAUUAUUAAAAGUGACUUUGAAAAAAACACAGUAUCUCCCUUUUGCUAAGUCUCUCAGAUGAAUCUUUGGAACCUGGGUAUUUCCCUAAUUCCCCAAACUCGUUUCUGACAAAACCUUCUAUUUGACUUGUUUUGGAUUACAAUUAUGCUUCUUUCAUGUGCUAGCCUUUUGUCUUGCUUUUGCAAAUGAAGAAGUCUGUAGCAAAUUUUGAAAUCUUUUCUCACUUGUUUCGACAUGGACUUGACUUAAGGACACGAGAAAAAUGACACUGAUUUUUUAUCUGAAUAACUGACUCAAGAAAACAAACAUGAAAAUAUAGAGAAGAAAAAAAAGACAAUGAAUGUCCCCAUUUGAAACAAAGAACAGAAAACCUUAUCUUAAAAUGACAAUCAAUUCUAAUGAUUAUGCCAUGCAUUUUUGGAUUAAGCUGCCUGAAAUUUUUCUUCCAAACUUUCACCAAUUGUUAUUGAGUUAAUGACCUUGAAACUGAGUUACUUCUUUGGGCUAAUUGUAUUCAGAGACCUUAUUCGGUUGGUGACGCCUUGAAGAAAUUUUUGCAAAUAAGCCUCUCACAUUUUUCUUUUUCUCAGCUCAUCAUUUCCUUAUGGUGUUCAUAAGGAUUUUCACCAAUGAGACCCUCUUAUUUUCAUUUCUCUCAAUCUCAAUUCCUGUGAGGAUUUUUGUCAACGAAACUCUAAUUUUCACUUCUCUCAUCUUACCAUCGUCUUGUGGUGUCCAUGAGGAUUUUUACCAAUAUGACUCUAUGAGACUUUCUUAUUUUCAUUUCUCCUAAUUCACAAUCAUCUUACGGUGCCCUUAAGGAUUUUCACCAAUAAGACUCCCUCAUUUUUAUCUCUCUCAACUUACUAUCUCCUUACAGUGCCUGUGAGGAUUUUCACCGCUAUGAAUCUCUCAUUUUUAUUUCUCUCUUAAUUUUUUAUGCUGAAGAAGACAAGUAUUUCCCAAAAUGCAUCAUUAUAUUUCAUUGUAUGCUUAGCCUUAACAUUCUCAAAUAUUGAUCUGAGGGUCUUUCUUUAAUUGUAACUUAGCUUUUGAAUAGGGUUAGAAAGAAGGAUAGCGUGAGGCCCAAACAACCCUUGAACGGGGUAGGACUUACAACUUUUGGAAUCAACUCAAAAAAUAAAGAUUAACUCAUGCCCCAGUUUCUUUUGACUGGGUAAUUCUAAAUUGUUUAUUUAGUUGGACCAAACCCAGAGUAGGGCUACCUACGUAUCUCACCCCCGAGAGAGGAGAAUCAGGUCAAAUGUAGUCUCGACUACUUGUUUCUUUACUUGAUUUUGAUUUCUAAUCUCUUUUUUUCUCUUUGGGACCUUUUUUGACUCUAUUUAUCUUAACACUUUUCUCAUUUUUUUUGUCUUUUUGACAUAUUUUUUAUGUUUUUAUUUUCUUUAUUUUUUUAACUGUUUUGACUCAUGACUCUAUCAUUUUGCUCGACACGAUUCUUUUUGAACUUCGUUGACUCUAUAUUGAUUCCAAAAGAGGGUAUGAAAUAAAAUAGAACUAACGAUAUGGGUGCCAAGAGCUCAAGGCCAUUCACAACUCUAAGUCUUGGAUUAUUGUUACCUUGAAUAAAAUCAUCACAAAAAAGAGUCAAAAGUCAAAAAAUCAUAAAAACAAUAUUGAGUCACAUUUUUUCACUUAGGCCAAAAUAUAGAUCUUAUAUCUUCUUAGUUUUUGUGUGUUUUGUUAUUUCUAGUGCUAGAUCCUUGUUCCCUACCACUAAUAAGUCUAGAUCUAAGAUUUGAGCUAAAUUUGCAUUGUUUUGAACCAUCAACCAUUGUUAAGCUUGUGUUUGAACAUAUUUAUGGGUGGAUAUCAUUUUGGAUAGUGUGGUUGUGAUGUUUUAGGUUAAUAUUGUGAUGUUUGAGUUUGGUUUGGCACAGUGACCUUAGAUCUCCAAGAAAAAUCAAAUUCUGAGUUCGUUUGCUUAAAGGUCAACUUUGGUCAAACCUAGAAUGUUCUUGGUGUUCUUCAAGAUCUUCAUAUCUUGUUGAAGAAGAAUAUUCCAAAGUGGUUGUUUGAUCUCUAAAAAUAAAGAAAGAGAAUGCAGAAUUUGGUUGAACAAAGAAUAUUCCAAGCAUAUAUUAAGUCAUCCAAAGAAGAAAGCAAAGGGAAGAUUCAAGUACAAUUGAAAGUACAAGGGUGGGACCAUCUCAAAUUCAAACUCAUUUGAGCUUGAAAAAGGCUCCAAACCUAGUAUUUUCUUCCACAAAAUUGAAUUUCUACCUCUCUUGAGUAAUGAUUGACAAAGAUUCAAGGUUCAAGAACAAAAAGAUUUCAAAAUUCUCAACCAACCGCAAGCUGCCACGCCAUCACUCUUGCACAACCGAAUUUUUAGCUCAAAUUUUGAUUUGUUAGUUGAAUUUUGUUGAUUCUAGUACUAAUUUACAAACUAGUAAUUGUCUACUAGGUUGUGAAUUAGUUUUGAGUCAUUUUCUUUCGUGUUCAAGUUCUUUGUAUGCUUUUCUCUUUUUGUGAUUUGUUGUAGUUUGUUGGUUCAAGUCCGAUCAAGGUUUAAUUGAGUCGUUUAUAUGAAAAUUUAUUCUGGACAAAAGUAUACUCAUCCCUCAAUUGCUCACGGAUUACAAACCGACUUCUAAUACUUGUGAGGCCAAGUGUAAGGCAAACAAUAGAGUGAGAGUGUGGUGUGGAUAUUUUGAACUAACAUUGUUUGUUGUUUUAUAGGUGUUUCCUUAAGUACCUUGUCAAUGGAAGGAACCACUUCUCAAACCGUAGACAAUAAUACUCUUGAUACUUUCAAGGCUUCUCUUGAAGCUAUCAAUCAAACUCUUGAGAGGUUGGGGUCAAAUACUGGAUCAAUAAAAGGGGGUAUGACAUCAAUGAAGGGGGAUAUGUCAACAUUGAGUGGUAGGAUGGAUCAUGUUGAGAGUCAAAGGAACUCCCGACCCUCUACUCCUCAACACUACCAUGUGUCUUUAAGUGGACAAUCCCAAAACAACUCUACUACCAUCACACCUGAGACCCUCCGUUAAAUGAUCUAUCCACCAAGACCUCCACAAAACCAAGUCCAAACUCCACAAACCUGAGACCUCAAUAGACUUUUCCAUCCCCAACUAAACCAAGUCCAACAAGAAGAAUUUGGAAACCAAAUUCCACCACAAAAUCCGAACUACCCAAUCCAAACUCUACUUGACCAAAGGCCAUACGUUCCAUAAAAUCCAAUGCCUCAAAUCCAAAAUCCACUUAACCAAAGACCUUACCAUCCACCAAAUCUACUGCAUACUGUCCAAGCUCCACUUAACCAAAAUCAACCAAUCCAUGUAGAAGACUAUGGUAGAGGGAAUCAAUAAUAAGGUUAUGGAGAUAUGGUGAUGCAUACUUGAGAGAAUAAAAGAUGAGGGGCGGAUAUGCUGAUCAAAUGGAGCUUCAAGGUCGAGGAGGAAGAGUUGGUCAAUGGAACCAACAUGGACUCCAAAACCAAGAUGUGGGCAUCAACUCAAUCAAAGUUAGCAUUCCUAUCUUCAAGGGUGAGAGUGAUCCCGAAUCCUAUCUUGCUUGGGAGUCCUCUUGUGACAAGAUAUUCCAAAUGAAUGACUUAACCGAAGAAAAGAAGAGUUGUUAUGUUAGAGGAUACUUUGAGGGGUAUUCUAACACUUGCUGGGAAUAUGUCAAGAGGUUUGGGAAUAAAGUGAAUGAGGCACAACCCCCUCCAUGGUUUACACUAAGGCAUCUUAUGAGAGCAAGGUACCUACCCGAGAACUAUAAGAAAGAGCUCCUUGCCAAAUUGUACAAUUUGAGACAAGGGAGUAAAAGUUUUAUGGCAUACUAUGAUGAGUUUUAACAAUUGAUGUUGAAGCUUGAUGAUCAAGAGGAGCAAGUAAGUCUUGACAUCAUUCAUUUAGAGGUCGGGUAAACAAGGACAUAUCUUCACAUUUGACUCUCCACAAAUUUAAAACCAUUGAUGGUAUCUUCCAAGCGGCUAUGGAGAUUAAAAAGGAGACCAAAGAGAGGUCGGUCUACAAGUCUAAGAGUCAACAACCAUCCUCAGGUUGGCCUAAAAACAAGAAGGUGGUUCAAUCCUCCUCGGUUUGGAACAAGAAUAAGGAACAACCAUCUUAUGCCAAGCAACCUGAGACCAAGUUCAUUCAAAAGUAUCCUCCAAGAAAUAAAGGUAACAAGUAUCCUACUCCUAAUUCUAAAAAGUUCUAAUGCUUUAAGUGUCAAGGUUGGGGACAUAAGGCAAAUAAGUAUCCAAACCAAAGGAACGUAAUCCUUAGAAAGAAGAAGUUUUCCUAUCUUAGAGUGGAGGUAAAGUUAGAAAUAGAGAAGAAUGAGGCGGAACCUCAAGAUGGAGAGAAUCUAGAUAUUGAGGUACAAGAAGAAAGUGAGAAAGAGGACACUUGGCCGCAAGAGGGUAAGUGUCAAGUUCCAAACUCUGUGGUGAGACCAGUCAUGUUCAGUAUGGUUUUAGAUGAUCCAAGCCAAAGGAAGAAUCUAUUCCAUACUAAGUGUCUUAUCAAUGGUGGUGUAUGUACGAUAGUUAUUGAUAGAGGGAGUUGCACUAAUGUUGCUAGUUCUAUUAUGGUUAACUUCUUAAAACUCCCCACUACUUCACAUGCAAAUCCCUACAAGCUACAAUGGUUGAAUGAGUAUGGAGAAUUGAAGGUGACUCGACAAUGCUUGAUUCGAUUCUAAGUGAAAAACUACAAAGACGAGGUGUUAUGUGAUAUAAUUCUUAUGCAAGCAUGUCAUUUAUUGUUGGGUAGGACAUGGCAAUUUGAUAGGUCUACCAAGCAUGAUGGAAGAACCAAUAGGUAUUCACUUGAAGUCAAUGGCCGAAAAUUCACACUUUAUCCUCUUUCACCAUCUCAAGUGAGUGAGAUACAUCAACAAUUGAGGAAGUUAAAAUAAAAAGGAAGAAAGGAGAGGGAACUCUAAAGUGGUAAAAGGGGAGAAUUCGAGGGGCUGCCUAGUUCUAAAGGGAAAGAUCAUAUGGUUAUGCUGGCUAGGAAGAAGAAUCUUUUCAAGGAGCAUGAUGACAAAACACCUAUGCUUCUCCUAGCCCAUACUUUUACUAACAACCUUUCUUCUUCUUCUUCUUCUUCUUCUUCUUCUUCUUCUUUUUCUAUUCCUCCUUCUAUUUCCUUUAUUUUGUGGGAAUUUUAAGAUGUUUUUCCAAAGGAACUUCCACAAAUGUUACCACCACAUUGGGAAAUUGAGUAUCAAAUAGACUUUGUGCUGGGGUCUCAAUUGCCCAACAAACAGGCAUAUAGAAGUAACCCUACAGACACCAAAAAACUUUAAAGGCAAGUUGAGAAACUUCUCAAUAAAGGAUACAUUAAGGAAAGCAUAAGUCCAUGUGUGGUUUUGAUCUUUUUGGUGCCAAAGAAAGAUGGAACAUGUAGAAUAUAUGUGGAAUACCAAGCCAUCAAUAAAAUAACAGUAAAAUAUCGCCACUCUAUUCCCCGAUUGGAUGAUAUACUUGAUAAGUUGAAUGGUUCUUGUGCGUUCUCAAAAAUUAAUCUUAGGAGUAGCUAUCACCAAAUAAGAAUGCAACUGGGUGAUGAAUGGAAAACCGCCUUCAAGACCGAAUUUAGUCUCUAUGAAUUAAUGGUUAUGCCAUUCGGCCACUCUAAUGAUCCUAGUACUUUCAUGCGAUUAAUGAAUCAUGUGAUGAAACUGUUCAUUAGAACGUUUGUUGUUAUGUACUUUGAUGAUGUCUUGGUUUAUAGCAAAUCCCUUGAAGAACAUAUGUUGCAUUUGCAAAAUGUAUUUGAUGUCCUUAGAAAGGAAAAGUUAUAUGCUAAUCUUGAGAAAUGUUCUUUUGGUGUUGAUAAAGUUGUGUUCUUGGAAUUUGUUGUAAGUUCAAGGGGAUUUGAGGUGGAUGAAUCCAAGAUAGACGCUAUUAAAAGUUGACCGACCCUAAGAUCUAUUGGAGAAAUUUGAAGUUUCCAUGGGUUGGCAAGCUUUUAUAGAAGGUUUGUCAAAGGGUUUAGCACCAUUGUUAUCCCCUUAACCGAGAUCAUUCGAAAUGAUCAACCUUUCAAGUGGGGUAAUUAUCAACCUAAGGCCUUUGAAACCUUGAAAGCUAUGCUCAUUUCCGCUCUUUUAUUGCAAUUACCCAACUUUGAUAAGAUGUUUGAAGUUGAAUUCAAUUCAAGUAAAGUAGGAAUUAAUGUCGUCUUAAUGAAAGAUCUCAAACCUAUUACCUAUUUUAGUGAGAAUCUCAAGGGUACAACUCUAAAUUAUUCAACUUAUGAUCUAGAGUUAUACGUCUUGAUUAGAGCUUUGGGUAAUUGGAAACACUACUUGUGGCCUAAAGAGUUUGUAAUCUGAACUGACCAUAAAUCCUCGAAACAUCUUAGGGCCUAACAAAAGUUGAACAAAUGGCAUGCUAAGCGGAUUGAAUUCCUAGAAUCCUUCCCUUAUGUCAUUCAAUACAAACAAAAAAAAGAAAAUAUGGUUGCCAACACAUUAUCUAGGAAACAUGUGCUUAUUUCUACCUUAUCUUCCAAGUUAAUGGGAUUUGAGAGCCUAAGAUUUUUAUAUCCCAAGGACCCUAUCUUUGAUCCUGUCUUUAGGGAAUGUGAAGAGUGGGUUAGGGAAAGCCCGGACAGGGGUUUCACUUCCUAUUCCAAGUUUGAUGGUUAUUUGCUUAAAGGAAGAAGGUUGUGUGUGCCCUUUAGUUCUUGGAGAGAGUUGUUUGUGAGAGAGGCACAUGAUGGUCGCCUAAUGGGACACUUUGGGGUUUAAAAGACCCUCAAAAUCUUAGAGGAACAAUUUUAUUAUCCUAAAAUAUGCAAAGAUGUUGCUAAGAUUUGUGGCCAAUGUAUGGAUUGUAGGAGUGCCAAAUCUCGCCUCCUCUCUCAAGGGUUGUAUACCCCACUUCCCACCCCUUUCAUCUGUGGCUUGACAUAUCAUAGACUUUGUUUUGGGUCUACUAAGUAUAAGUAAAUGAAUGGAUAACAUUUUUAUAGUGGUUGACCGUUUCUUUAAAAUGACCCAUUUCACCCCUUGUUCCAAGAGUGAGGAUGCAUCUAGUGUAGCCUCUUUGUUUGUUGAGUAUGUUGUGAAACUAUGUGGGAUUCCUUAAACCAUUGUUAGUGAUAGGGACUCCAAGUUCCUUAGUCACUUUUGGAAGUCAAUGUGGGGUAGGCUUGGUACAAAGUUGUUAUUCUCAACCUCUUGCCACCUUCAAAUCGAUGACCAAACUAAGGUAAUGAAUAGGACCUUGGGAUCUAUGCUAAGAUCCAUGGUUAAAGAUAAGAUGACUUCUUGGGAGAAUAACCUACCCCUAGUUGAGUUUGCUUAUAAUCAUUUUAUUUAUUUGACCACGGGUAUGACUCCCUUUGAGUAUGUAUACAGCAUGAACCCCCUUACCACUUUAGAUCUCACCCCUUUGUCUAGUGAUCUUGUGUUGAGCCUAGAUGGAGGCAAAAGGGAUGAAGCUAUGAAAAGGUUUCAAGAGAAGGUGAGAAGCCGACUUGAGGAGAAAAAUCAAGAAAUUGUUAAGAGAGCCAACAAGGGGAGAACGAGACUUGUACUAGAACCGGGUGAUUAGGUAUGGGCCCAUCUAAGGGAGGAGCAAUUUCUAACACAAAGAAAAUCCAAACUAAUGCCGAGGGUUAAUGGUCCUUUUUGAGUGCUUGAAAGGAUCAAUGACAAUGCAUACAAGAUUGACCUCCCACCAGAAUAUCAAGUACACAACACCUUCAAUGUGUGUGACCUCUCACACAUUGACAUAAUUGAAGGUGAAGAAGCCAUAAAUUUGAGGUCAAAUUCCUUUUAAGAUAGAAAGGAUAAUAUGGGUGCCAAAGUCUACAACCCAUGUUCAUAAAGAUGGAUGAUUGUGAGUGAGUCAUGAAUUUACCCUAAAGAGUGCAUAUGCUAAUGUGUGAAGAGGGACCUUGAAAACACUCUAAGGGAGCCUAUUACUCACACUCCAAGGGAGCCUCUCCUUCAAGGAUCAUUAAGGGCAUUUUGGUUUUUGUAUGUAAAAUCUAUAAAUAGACUUUUAGGCUUAUUUCCUCAUUAGUUAUUGAAUGAUAUUGAAAGACAAACUUUGAAACACCUUUUCUUCUCUCUUUUGUGAGAUUGUAAUUUGGGCUAGCAUCUAGUAUUGGAUUUCACUAGUGUUGGUAUUUGGCUUAAAAACGUUGGUGCUUGGGAAAGAUUGAGUUCAUUUUGUGUCAACGUAUGAUCUUGGUGUUACUCAUAUAGGUUAUAAGAGAUAUAGGUCAUAAGGGUCUUAGGAUUUGAUACAUCCUUAGGUUCUUUUGGAUUGUAUGUUUUUAUGUCAAGAUAUCUAUAUUUACCUUUUAUGCAUGAAUUUGGUGUUCUUCUUGCUUGUUCUCUUCGAUUUGAUUGUCAUUUCUUCUUUAGAUCUAGUUUUCAUCUAAUUUCUUGUGUUUUGAUGGCUUGUCCUAUAUCAACUAAAGCUUAAAUAGGGUAAAAAAAGGAUGACACAAUGUUUGGAUAGCUGAAUGGAAUGCCUCCAUCAUAUCAAUCUUUAAAAAUGCCAGUACAUAACAUGCAAUAUUAAAGUGGGAGAUGAAGAUCAUUUAUGUGUCUCACUACUUAACCUGAGUAUGUGUCUCACUACUUCUUCUGCACCUGUCCAACAUACGACUCCACCUUUGUUGUACAUUCCUCAAUAGAAUGACUCAUGCUUUCGUGGAGAAAAUUUUUCUUUUUUUCCUCUUGAUAGAGGAGAUUUUUCCUUCACUAUUAUAUCCAAUACAAAUUAUUUGAUGUGUAUUUUGACUAAUGACCAAGUUAUUCUUAUGAUUCUCAAAGUGACUGCCUUAAUUUAUUCAAAGAAGGCUUCAACUUGAUCACCAUAUGUCUCAACCCUUUAUCUAUUUUCUCAAAUGCGUUUCUUUCUAACUUUAACCCUCUGAUUCAAUGUUUCAUGAUCAAACUAGAUUUCAAGAUUUGGCUGAAAAUUCAACAAGCACGUCAUAUCACUAGAAUCAACAUAAAAUAUGUAAUAAAGAUAAACAAACAUCUUAAAAUAAGACAAAACUAAAACAGACAUCAUAUUUUAUUGAAAGAAAAGAUAGAAAGGUUUGAACAUAAACAUUAGCGUAACAAAACAAGAUAGAUCCUAAACUACAAUCCUGAAAUAAUUCGGAUAAUAAAAAAGAAAGCAAAACAAACUACCAAAACUCCUUCCUAGUAUGGGAUUAGUGUCUUUCCAAUUGUUGAGCUUGAUAUCUCAGCCACUGGUCUACACAUUAACAUGAUUAGAUUUUUCCCCACUAUCAAUGUUCUACACCAUAAUUGAUUUAUCUUGAAUCAUCUUUUCUAUUCUCUUUUCAAAGCACGACAAAUUUCAAUACUGUGAUAUAGGCUCUCUCGUAGAGUAGAGAGGCACAAUCGGUGGAUGAACACCAAAAGUAAAAGCUUCAGGUAAGGGUGAUGCUGCAAUAACAUAAAUGGUAGAUGGAGUCAAGUAUGUGGUAUUUUUGUGUUGAGGAGUUAGGAAAUAAAUAUUAGAAGAGUUGGGAUAGUAUUGCCCUAAAAUAAACCCUAGUACAUGUUGUGGCGUGUCAACAAAAUUGGGAAAUUGUGCAUGUGACACUGGAGGUAAGCUGGAAGGAUUUUCUAGAUUAUUCAUGGAACACGGGGGAGGAGGAAACCUGUUAGCCCAAGCUUGACCUAUCAUUUGGCACCUUAAUUUCAAGAUCAGUUCAUUAGGUCCUAAAUUUUCACUCUCCAAAAUCCUUGUCUAAUAAGGAAUAACAAACUCAAUCUCCCUGCUGGCCAUAAUUACCUUUCUCUUGGACUUGGUAUAAUAUGAAGGACAAGACAAAAUGCCACAAACUAACCAACUUAAACUAACUAAAGAAAUAGAAAUAACAAAUGUGUUAGUUCAAUAUUUUUUCAAAACCGCUUUUUUCACCUUUUUUUCUUGUAAAGAUCACCAAAUCCAAAAAUGGCGUCUGUGUAUCUUACCCUCGAAAGAGGAGAACAGGUGUGCAUAGUUUAUGAAGCUUGGCCAAAAAUGGUCAAUCAAACUCUUUAUCUUUUCUUCUUUUUUUUCUAAUGAAAUUUUAGUGGAAAAGGAAAUCUUUAUAAAUUUUCAGUUUAAGUUCCCCGAUGCAAAAUGAAGCCUAUGAUUACCAAAAGAAAAUCUUUUUGGAUUAUUCAUAUGGAGAAAUGCAUGGCUUAACUAAUCUAUUACCUAAUAAUUUUUCAAAAGAUAUUCACACAAUCUUUUUGAAUGAAAUCUAAGAUUAUAAAAAAAAAAUCUUUUUGCAUUUUUUAGAUGAAACAACACGUGCAAACAACUAAUCUAAAAUGAAUAGAAAGUCGUUUUUUUCCUUUUAUUUUAUCAUUAUUUUCAAAAUAUGUUGACAAAAGGUCUUUUUGAAUUUUCAAUUUUGAAUUUUAUCCAUAAUGAAACCUAAAACUAUUAAGAAAAAACUUUUUGUAUUUUUCUUUUAAGGCAUAUAUGAAACACCUACUCUAAAUGAAGAGUGAAGAAUUUUUUUUGGAAUUUCUUAAAUAAGAUCACCGAACCCUAGAAGGGCUGUCUACAUAUCUCACUCCCGAGAGAGGAGAAUCAUUGUGCGUAGUUCAUUCAAAUUGGAGAAUUAAGUAUUAAAGAACAACCUAAACCUUGACCUAAGAGACACGACCAAAGACAGACAACGAAAAAUGUCAAUAAAAUCUUUUUUCUAGGUUUUUUUUAUCUUGACAGUGCACAUAAAACUAACACCAACAACUACAAAAGAAAAAUCUUCUUGGUAUUUUCGUUAUAUGAAAUAUACAAGACUUCAACUAUUUUUUUAAAUUUUCUUUUAUAAAAAUCUCUCAUUGAAAAGACUGCAGGUUUGGAGGCAAAUCCUUGAAUCUAAGGGAUUCAGGUUGAAUAGGUGCAAGACGGAAUAUAUGGAAUGCAAGUUUAGUGACUCGAGUCAGAAGGACGAAGUGGUGGUGAGGUUUGAUUCUCAGGAUGUUUGUAAGAGGGAUAUUUUAAGUACCUUGGGUCUAUAAUUUAGGGAAAUGGCAAGAUUGAUGAGGAUGUCUCUAAACGUAUUAGAGCAGGUUGGAUGAAGUGAAGGCUCGUCUCGAGAGUGUUGUGUGAUAAAAAGGUGUCCCUUAAGCUUAAAGGUAAAUUCUACAGAGUGGCAGUCCGGUCGGCCAUGUUGUAUGGAACGGAGUGUUGGCCAGUAAAGAACUUCCACAUUCAACGAUUGAAGGUGGCAAAAAUGAGAAUGUUGCAUUGGAUGUAUGGAAUUACUAAAAGGGCUAAAUUUAGGAAUGAGACUGUCAGUGAUAAGAUGAAAGUGGCUUCGGUGGAGGACAAGUUGCGAGAAGAAAGGCUAAGAUGGUUUAGGCAUAUGAUGAGGAGGGGCACGGAGUUCAUAGGUGCAAGAGGUUAGCUUUGGAUGCCUUUAGAAAGAGUAAAGGUAGGCUAAAAAAUACUGGAGGGGGGGUGAUUAGACAUGACAUGGAGCAGUUUUAGUUUAUUGAGGAUAUGACCCUAGAUAAGAAGGUGUGGAGGUCGCGGAUAAGGGUAGAAGGCUAAUGUGAGUGUGUGAGUUUUAUCAAGAUGUUAGGAGAGCUCUUGUGUACCCGGGUUAGUAAACAUAAGACUGUGUCCAUUAGUAGGAGCCCCUAGUCAGUAGAGUUUGUGUGUGGUGGGUGUCUUUGGUCUAUGGGUGUAUGUUACAAGAAGGUAGGUAUCCUAUCUCUUAUUUCUUAUUUUGAAUUACUCAUAUUUCUCUUAUUUCAUAGUUCUAUGAUAUCUAUUUUAUUAUUGCUUACUCCUUAUUUAUGUUAUGUCAUCCAUCCUGCUUUAUGUUUCACUACGACCUUGUGUAUUCUCUAGCCUAAGCCAAGGGUCCAUCGACAACAACCUCUCUACUUCUUCGGAGUUAGUGGUAUGGACUGCGUACAUUUUACCCUCCCCAGACCUCACUUUGUGGGAAUACACUGGGUUUGUUGUUGUUGUAAUUGCUUGCUAAAGAAAAUAAAAGAAAAAUCUUUUUGAUGUUUUUUUUUUUUUUGGAAAUGAGUGCAAAAGGUAAAAAAUCUUUUUGAAUAUUUGGAUUGUAGGAAACAAAGCCAUAAAGAACUCCAAAAAAAACUACGAAACUCUUUAUUGACUUGCUUUUCUUUUCUCUUAUUUUUUUAUUUUUUCUUACCUACAUAUUUUUCUUUAAUUCUAGCACGUGCUUUCCCCCAAUCACUCCGUCAAAUGACUCUGUUACCCUCAAAGAUUUAACAAUUAACAUGUAGGGAUGCUUUACGGGCAAGUCUCCUACAAAGGACCAAGUAGGUCCCACUAGGUCUCAAUAUGAUACAGAUAAACAUGACCGAAAGGCUCACCUAGGCUGGGUCUACUAACAAGGCUAUUCGGGGGAGCGUAUGGUCAAUAGUGGCUGCAGUUGCUUUCCACAUAAUCCAUACCAGCCGACGGCUAUCUUUUCUAAAAUAAGGGUGACUCAACUAGAAUCCAUUUACAUAACAUGUACUACGGGACUACUUGUGAAAGAAAUGACUCAGGUUAUGCAAAUGAUAACAAAUAUUGCAAGGCGCCGUAUUUUUGAGCUAGUCUUUGAACCGUCGUUUCUACAUGUAUAAGUUAUAAUCCAAAUGAUUCUCAUGUGAAUAAAAGUUUCAUGAUCCUUAUCCUCAUGUUUGAUGUGCUUUCGUGGUGAAAAAUAUUCAUAAGAAUCACUUAGAACAAAAUUAAACUUAGAGUCUUUGAUAGUCCAAAGUUUGGUAUUCGAUUCUGUAAGGAUCUACUUUAAACGUGUAUAACUUUUGAUAUACAUGAAAUUAGCUCAAUACCCACUAAAUUGUAGAUAAUUGAAUCAUCUUUCCAACAAUACCAAUUUCGUCUUAAUCUGAUACCCGAGCGAAAAGUUAUGACUUUUUCCGUAAGAGGCUGUAACUGGAGGCGAUAUACCCACGCCACGAGCCUUACUGCGCCGCUCUAGAGGGAUCUUCACAGGAUCUAUUUCCCUAGACUAAAAAUUGCAUCACCUAGUCUAUUCCUUCACGUUUCAAACUUCUUAAGGGUCAAGGGGAACUGUGGUCCUUUCCCCUCAACCCCAAACGUCCAAGGGACAAUUUAUAGCAUCCAAAAGGGCAUUAUUUGCCCAUCUUCCUAAAUAUUUCUUAUGUAAAAACCCUCUCCUUUCUCCCAUGAACAAAGUUCAAGGCUUCUUCUCAAGAAUACAAGGAUUCAAGCUUCAAUUUCAAGAAUUCUUCAAGAAUCUAUCUAAUUAAGGUAUGUGAGAGUUCAUCCAUGGGUCCCCUUUCACUCAUGGAGCCCAAAACCUAUUUUUAAGUUCAAAGUUAUGAUUUUUACAUAUUAAUAUGAAUUAUAUCUAUGAAACCUCCAUGAAUUUUGAUUAUGUAUUAUGUUUACAAAUGGUUUUUGUUGAAAUUGCCUUGAUAUGUUCAAAUGGUGAUUUUUACAUGUUAAAUCUUUAACCCAUGUUUUUAAUAUUGAAAUUUAUGUGAUUUUCAUGGUUUAACUACUCCUAUGUUUUAACUCAUGAUCCCCAUGUGUUUGAUUUCUAGUUAAGAGUAUAUGUGUUUUCAAGUGGAAUGAGCCAAUACAUAUUUUGAAUGUUAUGAUCAUCAUAUCUAAUCCCUAAUUUGUAAAUGGAUUCGUGUAUCCAUGAUAUUUUUGCAUGUUUGCUCAUUCUCAUGCACAAGUUUAGGGUCUCCACAUGUUUGAUAAAAUUCCCAUAUCAUGCUCAAUCAAUUUUAAGAUGAAUCCUCAAGUUAUGAAUUUUUUCAUGUAACUCUAUUGUUCCCCAUGUUUAAGAUCCAUGUUCAAGCUCAUGAUUCCCAAGUAUUUUCGUUGAAAUUCAUCCUUGACACGUUUGGAUAAUAAUUAUUCGCAUGUUAACUCCUUAAUCCAUGAUUUUGAUAUUGCAACUAUGUUUGGAUCACACGUUUAACUAUUUUCAUGCUUAAGCCUAUGAAUUUCAAGUGUUUGAUGAAAGGCCUAAAUGAUUGAGUUUUAAACAAUGCAUACCAAUUAUGCUUUCCAAGUUUUAGUAUGUCCCUAUUGUUGUGCUAUUGAGUCCUGGGGGUUAUGAAUACCUAAGAACUUAGUUGUUUACUUAGUCUCAAUAUUUUCAGAAUACUUUCAGAUAUGUUAUGAGCUGUAUCAAUUCAGUCAAAUAUUAUAAUCAGCAAACUUAGAUCAGUUCAGUAAUCUGAGUCAGUUCAGUUGGGAGCAGGAUUUAGCACCGAGUGAACCCAAGGAUGGGGGUAUUCCUGCCAACAUAGGGUUUGACCCUUAGUAGCAAUGCUUGAGUUACAGAACUAUCUAGCCAGCGUAGGUUUGAGAUGUCUUCCUGGCAGCUUAGGGUUGACACAUAUCUCAUAAGUUUCCUGCAAGUAAAGGGUUACUCCUUAGUCCUUCGGGAAACUAGUUCAGUGGAUUCACACAGCCAUUAUUAGUACCCGGGGCACGAUAUUGGCAUCCUUCUAACUGGGGUUAUAGGUUGGACCCCAAUUAGCUUAUUUAGGGCAUGUCCGUUAGAUGAUGCCUCCCACAGUCUCAGUUUAGUAUUCAGUUUCAGAGUUUACUUUCAGGUUUGCUUGACUAAGUGUACAGACUUUUAGGCACUCAGUUUUACAGCUUUUAGUCUUUCAAAUUAUAGAUUAUCUCAGUACCAUAACAGAUAUACACUUGAUCUUGUAUUCUUAGAUAAUACAGUUUUCAUGCAUUCCUACUCAAUUAUCUCAUGUUGUUCCGUUAGUCCUUAUCUCAUAUGCAUAGUAUCCCAUAAUUUCAGCCCAGUUAUUCAGACUAAUUAUAGUUCAGUAUUAUGUGCUCAGUAUUCGUCAUCAGCUAUUCAGUGUUCGAAUAGUAGUAGUCCAUUUCAUAUAUCAGCUACUCAGUAUAUAGGUACUAGUUACCCCUUUUACUUAGAGUUCAAUCAUUCUGUAAGCCAGACAUCAGUUAUUCAAUUUAUCAUAUCAGCUCAGUACAUGUAUGUUUGGUCUCGUAUAUUCAUGUAUCUAUGUCUUAUCGUAUCCUAGCUUUAGUUCUGCUAAUUCUGCAAAAGUAAAUUUUUUAAGAAACUAAGUGUAGUGAUUCACCAGCUUACCAUAUUAUGUUUGUUGCUCAUGCUUUUAAGAUAAUUCAGUUUUCAGUUUAUUCCAACCUAUUGGUGAGUCUACUUACACUUAGCAUGCAUGUUUUAAGAUUACGUGUGAAAUCAGUUAUACUUAUUGCAUUCACCCCUGCAUACUCAGUACAUUACAAAAGUAAUGAUCCACAUAUACGUCUAUGUGGUCAUAUUGUUUCAUAAUAUAGGUACCAUUUGUAGCCCGCACAUCGUGAUCAGAUAGUUGUAGUUUUCAGCCAGCAGGUGAUGAGUUUUCUUAUUUCGGAAACUUCAGACAGUUUUAGUUCAUGUACAAUUUAUUUAUUUUUCAUAUGUAUUGAUUAGUUGUAGUUGGAGACAUGUCUCAGCUAUCUAUAGUCAGUAUAAUAGAGGCUUCAUAGAUGUCAGUCAGAGUCAGUCAUGUAAUUUCAGUUUCUUCCUUCAGAUUUAUAAGAUUGUAAAACUUUAUUAGUUACAUACUAUUUCAGAUUUUCAGUAUGAUUAUGUUUCCGCACAGCAGAACUUUUUAUUUAAUGUAUUAUAAUUCAGUUGCUUAACAGUAUGCCAGUUCAUGGGUUAACUUGGGAACACUUGUGGUUCCUAGAAUCGUGUGGCAUCCAGGGUGUACUCCCGGGGUGUUAAAGAUAUAAAGCGGUAACAAAAAGGAGAAAAACUGUAAACACACAGCACGUAGGCAUUUAACAAUGAUAAAAUAAUAAUACAAACGAUAACACAAACAAAGUGUCUAUACACCUAUAUCGUGGGGAAUUCUCGGUAAUGAAUAAAAUUUUCCUUGGGGCAUUCCCCAGCCAAAUGAGUACAAGAAAUUUAGAUGCGAUGAAAUAACGAUCAUUCAACACAUUCAAACGUUCAACAAUUCAUAAUCCCUAAGUUUUCCUGCCCGAUCUAAUAUUUUCCUAUUGAUUCUCGGCCUAACACAUGAUACUAUCGAGUACGAUAAAAUUAACAUCCAUUUUAAAUCAAACAACGAUCAAUGAAUCAAACUAAUCAAUAUUCACCUUUUUAUCAAUUCCCGUCCCAAGUUUAUUUUUUAACAUACAAAUUUCCCAUAUGAAAAAUGGUGAUCCACCCAUAUUAACAUCAAUCUUGUACCGUAAUCAAUCAUUAAACGUCAAACAUUCACAAAGAAACACCCAAUCAUAAUUAUCAAUCAACCAUAACAUCAAUCCAACAAAUCAAGAUAAAAAUGAAGAGAAAGAGUUAAAAGAAUUAGACCUUAGAGAAAACUUUCAGAAUUAAUGUAUUAUACUGCUUAAACAAGAUAGAAUCUAUGCCCGAAAUAUCGAAUCAAGCCUCAUUAUGAACCCAAAUCAACAAAAUCCCAACCAACAGAGAAACUUCAAAAUGAAAGCCAAAUAACAAAUUUCAAAACGAGGCUUGAAUGGCCGAACUCGAAUUCCCAUGUUUUGUAUUAAAUCCAAUGAUUCUUUUUUAUUUUUAUGGUGUUUUACGGUGGCAGUUGUUGGCCGGAGCUAUUGUGUGUCCGCGGGGCUAUUUUUCAGUGGCUUUUGAUAAAAACAAGCUUAUUUCGGAUUGGUUUGAGCUAGACUUACUGUUUUUAUUUCGCCAGAGCUAUGAUAAGCUCGGGCAGUUAUAGGAAAUGGCAACAACUCAAAUUUUGGGCGUCAAUAUCAUUUUUGAUGAGAAUUCACUGGAACAGUCAUCCCCGUCAUUUCUCUCUUCUCUCUCGCUCAAAGAUCUCUAUUUUUGUUUAUCACUUCACCGUGUUCUUCUAUCUUUUUUAGUGUGUGUGUGUGUAGCUGUGUGUGUGUGAUGUGUGUAUAUGUGUAUUCUGAGUGUGUGCGUAUAUGAGUCUUGUAAAUGUGUGGUAAGAGUUGUUUUUUAUUGUGUAUUCUCUCUCCUCUGUGUGAGAGUAUUUAGUGUGUAAAUUGCCUUCUUUUCUCUAUAAUAGAGAUGGAGCUUUGUGUAUAUUGUUGUUUAUUCUGUGGAGAAGAGAGGUAAGUGGAGGAGUGUGUCAGUGGGAUUGUUUGGCGUAGUGGUUAGGAUUAGGUGAGGUAGGGGAUAGGUGGGGUAGUGGAGGGCAUGUGGGUUAGAUAAUUAAAUUAUUGAAGAUUUGUUAUAUUUUAUCUUUUUGUGGAAAAAUAUUAAAACAGGGUGGGCGUAUGAUAAGGUGGGGUAAAUGGGUAUAAUUGACUUAUGGGAGGGACAACAUUACGUGUCUACACACAUGAAUUCCUCUCUUCAAUUGAUCAUUUUUGUUGGUAACUUGUUCAUCUCUUUCUUCUAUUUUAAGUUCUUGAUUGGUUUGAUUAAUGUUAUUUUGUUCUUCAAAUUAAAUAUUAUUGUGCGAAGAAUCGGUUUAAAACAUUUGUAUAAUGAAUAAUCCUUCAUUGAUAAUGAUGGCUUCAAAAAAUAAUACAUGAAGAACAUGUAAUGGAAUUGAAUAAAAGUAAUCCCUAAAUGAAUUGAAAUUCAAUCCCCAAGAGAAAAAAUCGAUUAAAAGAAAUAGAGAAACCAAAAAUGAUACAAAUAAAAUAUUCAACACAAGUGAAUGGUUAUUAAGAUGAUUGAGAAAAAGAAGUAUAAUCAAGAAUAACGAUUUUGAAAAAAAAAAUAUUAUUUCAAUAAAGUUGUUUUAGAAAAAAUUGAGACUUUUUUGAAAGAAAUAAGAAGCAUAAUAAAUUAAGAUAUAAUAUUGACCAUAUUUUACCUUCCAUAAUUAUCAACAUAGUUAUUUAGGAGAAAUUGACUACUAAAUCCCAAAAAAGGAGUUAAUUGUUCUUUAAAAUGUUUUAUCACUUUUUAAAAAAAUAAAUUAAUUAAUUUUUAAAAAAGUUGUUACAACUUGCAAUUAAAAUCUUAAUAAAAUAAUUGUUUAAAAAUAUUGCUAAAACUUGCAAUAAAUCUAUAUUUAUAUCUAUAUCUAUAAUAUAUUAGAAGUGUGAAGGACCUUAGAAAUAUUGUUUGAACUUUUUUAAAGUCUUUUCUUUAGACUUAAUCAUCUUUUCACUAUUUUUUUUCCUAACAUUUAUGAUUUGAAAACUAAUUAAAUAUAUUUAUGAUAAAACCUUUUCUUAUUAGAAUUUAUCAGAAUUAAUGACAACUAAUACUUUUUUCAUUAGUUUAGGAAUACUAAAUCAACUAAAUUUGAUUUUAAGAAGAUUUGAAAAAUCUAGAAAUAAAUAUUAAAGUGUUAGAAUAAGAAAAUUUAAGAAGUAUCAAAUUUUUAAAAGUUUUAAGUACGUAAUAAAAAUGUAAUCAAUGAUUUUGUAAAGAUUUGACUUUAAAAACAAGAAAAGAUUUUAAAUAUAGCAAAAAAAAUAAUUGUACCAGAAAUAUGGUUCAAAUUGAUGUGUCUCUCUUAGCCUUUGGUAGCAAGAGAAUGAGUUACUGCAUAACAAACGCAAAAGUGAUGAUCGAUCAAUCGAAACUUCUGGUGGUAAAAUAUAUAGUGCUUACACUAAAAUAUAUGUUUAUGCUUACAUUAUUAUAUUAAAUUGCAAAAGAUAUUUAAAAAGUGAAUUGAACAUUAUAUACUUUACUAAAAAUCUCCGGAAUAGAUAAAAAAAUUUUAAUUUUAAAUAAUCAAACGUUGCACGUGCGAGACACGUACAGUUAAACUAGUUAUAUUAAAAGUGUGAAGAUCUUUAGAAAAGUGAUUUGAACUUUUUGUCCUUCAUUAAAAAAUUCUAUUUAAACAAAAUCGUCUUUUCAUUAUUUUUUCAAAUAAUAAUUAUUUAAAUCUUAAUUGCUCAUUAUUUCAAUAUUACGUGAAGAUUGUUUGCUAUUUCCUUUUAUUUAGGACAUAUAAUUAUUUGAAUCUUAAUUGCUCAUUAUUUCAAUAUUACGUGAAAUUCUUUGUUACUUUCUUUUAUUUAGGACAUCCUUUAAUUGUUUUGUUUUAUUUAGGCCAUUGAACACGGUGGUUUCUUUUGUUAAGGACAGUAUAGUUAAAACUUAAUUUGUUAUAAAUAUAUUACCAUGUAUAGUGAAUGUCUACUUUACCACAUAUAGUGAAUGUUUAUUUUCCCAUAUAUAGUGAAUGUCUAGUUAUGAAAAAGUUAGAAACCCCAAGGUUAGUUUUUCCCUAUAAAUAAAGGGGUUUUACUUCAUUGUAAAGAAACCCUCAAGAAUUCCUCAUAAGAAGUAAAGAAGUCUCCUCUCUUUUCUCUCCAUUCUUCUUCUUCUUUGAUUUAUAUUUCAUAACAUGUUAUCAGCACGAGACUCCGCCAAACAAAGUAAGAUUAUAAAUCUAACGGUAAUUUCAAGAUUAGUUAUUCCUUAUGUUAUUUGUCUUUUGCUACUAAUGAUAUUAUUAUUGUUGGAUUUGAGGAAAAAAUAAUUGAUUUGAAACCACUUAUGUUUUAAAUUUUUUCAUGAAGAAUAAUAUUGUUAAAAGAUUUGAUAAUAAAUUUAAGUCUCAUCUUAUUAAGAGGGUAAGACAUUGGGUUAAAAUUCCAAUACAUCAUGAUGAUAAGAUGUUUAAUUCAAAUACCAUCGAUUUAUGCCUAAGACGUCUAUAUAUGGAUAAGACGUUGAGUUUAAUCUCAAUGCACCAUAUCGAUGAUAUUAUAAUGGCUAAGGCAAAAUAAUGGGUAUUUGGUAAAAAGUCAUGAAAUCUGACCCAUUAAAUAUACUCUAUUCCAUGAAGUGAAUAUUGUAGCAAUAUAUGGCGUUGCUCCAUUCUUAAAGAGAAUGUGGUAGCAGUGCAUAAUAUGUUUGAAAGAAGACAAGUGAUUAAAUGCACGAAUAUAAGCGAGGAGGUAUAAUAUGAUAAUAAUCAUCAAAAGUGAUAAUAUUUUCACAUGUUUAUUAUGAUUACAAGAUUUUUUAGAGAAAAAUUAUCUACCUUAGAUGCACAUCUCGAUUUGCUUUUGAAUUAGCAAUAUUUUGAAAGAGGUUACAAACUAUCAUAAUUUGAUAGACACGAUUAUAUUCCACUCAUGAAAAUGAGAAUUUUGAUUAUUAUAGGUACAAUUUCAUUCCUCAAGGCGAAUGUGGUAAUAUUUAGAAAAGGUUAUCAAUACAAACGUGCACUUAAUUGUGAUGGUAUCGAAACUCACCUCUAAAAGAGGUAGAAUAAUUGAAAGGAGUUAUUCUGAAAUCUACUUUCGAAGUAGUAAAUCUGAAAUCUAUUCAUAUCAUAGUAAAUCUGAAAUUUACUAAAGCAAAAAAAUACAUGUCAUGAAAAAAUUAGAGUUUACUAGUAUAAAAUUUCAUAAAUUGACAUGAACCAUUAGAUGUGUAUAUUGAAUAUUAAACAUAUAUUCAAGAACUAGAAAACUCUUCAUGAACUUGUAAUAUUGCUUGUUCUCAUGAUAAGUUGGUUGGACCAACUAAUGUUGGGAUUGGAUCCCUUAAAUCUGAAAAGUAUAAAAGGUAAAUAUGAGCCCGUUCACCUGUCAUGUGAUCUAUUAAGAUGCAUCGAUAUAAGAUGAUCACAUGUGAGUUUAUUGUCAACCUAUAGUUUGACAUUCAUAAAGUUUCUUGGUCAAUAAAAUUGAGUUAAGAGCAUAAUUUUCAGAUUGUGUAAUCAAGACAAUUCAUCUUAAUGAUGAUGGUUUGUCAUUGAAUGCCUUCGAUAAAUAGUUGGAUCAUUGCCAAUGAGAACAAAACUUCAUGUGUUGAUUUGAAAAACCAUACACAAAAGUACUUGUAUGGAUCAAACCAAUAUAUUAUGAUUAGUUCAUCCUCAAAGUUGGUUCUGAGUCAUGAACCACACGUUGUCCAUCUAAUAAUUUUGAUGUGCGGUAUACGAUUAAUAAAUAUACCAUGGUACAUACAGAUGGAUUCUUCAUAGAAUAUGAAGGAUGUAGGUUAAUUUUCCUAAUAUAAGGGGGAGAUUAUAAUCAUCUAUGAAAUAUGUUGGGAAUUAUCAUCAGAUCCUCAUUCAAAAGAUAAUUCAAGUCAAAUGCCAAAAGCAUCUCAUAUUAAGCUGCAAGUUCUCCUAUUUUAUGUCCUUAAAGGAUAAAUUCUAAGCAUGUGUGAAACGUGGUAGACCAAUUGAUUCUAUAUAAAAUAAUUCUUGAAAAGGAUAAGGAGCAAAUGAUCAUAGCAAGAAGGUAAUGUGCUCUUGAAGAGCCUACGAUAUGAUACUUCAUGAAACCUUAUGAGAGUUUCAGGUACUUAAAAAUAAUGAAGUGAUGAGAUCUUGAAAUAUUAUGUCACACCAUGAACUGAUACGAAAUGAUGUAUUAUCAAUAACUUUGAUACAAUAUUGGCGCAAUAUUGUAAAAGAUUAUGAGGAUCUGAAUUCUACGUUUAUUUAAGCAUACCAACGUAGAAGUAUUUAUCAAGUGAUAUGAAAGGAUGCAUAUUGGUAAGCAUAACACUUAUUUGAUUUGCAGUCCAAACACUAGAAGAUGUCACACACGAAAUGGUGGAUAUUGUCACUUAACAAAAAUCUAUAUGAAAAUUCCUAAAGGAUUUAAAAUGCCUAAAGCAUACAAAGUUUCUGGAAAACUUGUUUAUUAUCCCUAUAAGAGAUAAAAUGAUGGCUUGAAAAUUAUUGAAACUCUUGGGGAGUUUUCAGAAGCAAUAGAUUAUUUACUAAAAUGAGAAACAUAACGAAUUGGAUUGGUCCUAAAGUACUAUAUCUUAGGGUAAUUGAUGUACUAAUGUAUCUUGCAAAUACAACAAGGCCUGAUAUAACCUUUUUUUGUUCAAUUUAUUAGCAAGGUAUAGUUAUACUCCUACUACGAGACAUUGAAAGGGGAUCAAAUACAUGAUCUUAUUUUAUUCUAAAGAUUGUAGUCCCGAUCUAAUUGGUUAUGCUGAUGCUGAGUACUUAUCUGACCCGUAUAAGGCUCGAUCUCAAAUAAGUUAUAUGCUCAUAUGUGGGGAUACUAACAUAUCUUGAAGAUAUACAAAGCAGUCUAUCGUAGCCAUUUCAUCGAAUCAUGCUGAGAUAAUAGCUAUUCAUAAAGCAAGCCAAAAGUAUAUGUGGUUGAGGUCCACGAUACAUCUCAUUCGCCAAAAAUGUGAUUUGAAAUGUGACAAAGUACCCAUGAUAUUUUUUAUGAGGAUAAUGAACAUGCACAACACAACUUAAGGGAGGACUCAAAGAGAUAACAACUUAAGGGAGGGCUCAAGGAGAUAGAACGAAAUAUAUUUUGCCAAAGCUUUUCUAUACACACGAGCUACAAAAGAAUGGUGAUAUUAAUGUUCAACAUAUUCGUUCAAGUGAUAAUAUGAUUGAUUUAUUCAUCGAAUCUCCUCCAAUUACAAUUUUUAAGAAGUUGGUUUACAAGAUCGGGAUGCAAAGGUUCAAGGAUGUUCUCAUUAGGGGGAGUUAAUACACGUUGUACUCUUUUUUUCUUAUGAUGUUUUGUCCCACUGGAUUUUCCUUGUAAGGUUUUUAAUGAGGUAACCUGUAUAUGUAUUGCUAGAGAUGUGUACUCUUUUUCCUUCACUAGAUUUUUUUUUCACUGUGUUUUUUCUAGUAAGGUCUUAACGAGGCAUGUUAUCUAUCAAUUAGACAUUCAAGGGGAGUGUUAUAAAUAUAUUAUCAUAUAUAGUGAAUAUCUAUUUUACCAUUUAUGGUGGAUGUCUAUUUAUGGAAAAGUUAGAAACCCCAAAGUUAGUUUUUCCUUAGAAAUAAAGGGGUUUUCCUUCAUUGUAAAACCCCCCUCAAGAAUUCCUCAUGACAAAUAAAGAAGUCUCAUUUCUUCUCUGCUCUCUUCUCUCUUUGUUCUUCUUGUUCUUUGUUUUAUAUUUCGUAACAUAAUUAGAAUUCUUUUUUGAAAACCGAUUAGAAUUCUUUCUAUUUUCUUUUAAAGAAAAUGGUCAAAAGUCCACCCAACCUUUACCCCAAAUUCCAACUACACACCUAUACUUUGAGGGGGUCCUCUGACCCCCCUGAACUAUUUUAAAGUGGAAUUAUUAUACCCCCAAAAUGCUAUACUCAGUUUUGGAGGAGGCGGUGUAAUACACGCGUCAAUCAUAUUUUUACAAGUAUUUUUUUGUUUAAAAUUAAUUUUUAUUUACUUUCUUCUCCAUGUUAUCACUUUUCAUCAAUUUUUCACCAUUACUUUUCAUCUCUUUUCCUUUUCAAACUUAAUUAUAGCUACUUCUAUGCAAAUAAUUUUUCAACGAUCUUGAAGUGAAAAAUAAUGGAAAAUAUCAAAUUUGAAAUUUCCAACCAUCUUGAAGUCGGAAAUAAUAAACAACAUCGAAUUUAAAAUUUUCGACAACUUUUAAGUGAAAAAUAAUGAACAAUAUCAAUUUUUUAAUUUUCGACGAUCUUAAAUCCGAAAAUAAGGAACAAUAUCAAUUUCAAAUUUUUGACGACCUUGAAGCCGAAAACAAUGAACAAUACCGAAUUUAAAUUUUUUGAUGAUCUUAAAGUCGAAAAUAAUAGAGAAUUUUAAAAUUUUCGACAACCUUGAAGCCGGAAAUAAUGGACAAUACCCAUUUUAAAAUUUACGACAAUCUUGAAAUCGAAAAUAAUGGAUAAUGUCAGUUUUGAAAUUUUCGAGAAUCUUGAAGUCGGAAAUAAUAAACAACAUCGAAUUUAAAAUUUUCGACAACCUUGAAGUGAAAAACAAUGAACAAUAUCAAUUUUUAAAUUUUCGACUAUCUUAAAUUCGAAAACAACGAACAAUACCAAUUUCAAAAUUUUCGACGACCUUGAAACCAAAAACAAUGAACAAUAUCGAAUUUAAAAUUUUCGAUGACCUUAAAGUCGAAAAAAAUAGAGAAUUUUGAAAUUUUCGACGACCUUGAAGUUGGAAAUAAUGGACAGUGACCAUUUUAAAAUUUACGACGACCUUGAAUUCCAAAAUAAUGGAUAAUAUUGAUUUUGAUAUUUCUGACGACCUUGAAGUUGGAAACAACGAACAAUACCCAUUUUGAAAUUUUUGAUGAUCUUGAUGCCGGAACCAAUCAAUUUUGUGCUUGAAGAUGAGAAAGAUGAUAAAUUAGUCUUGGAUGCCAUUGAUGAAUUCUUGAAGUUUUUGGUUUGUGAGAAAGAAGAAGAAGAAGAAGAAGAAGAAGAAGAAGAAAGAAGAGAAAAUUGAAGGAAAGGUGUCUUUUAAAUCUUGAAUGAAGGAUUGGUGACAUUGACCAAUUUAAAGGGUCAAACAUAAUUAAAAAACUUGAUUAGGUUAAUUGUGGACUUGAUUAAUAUUUUCUAAACUUUUUAAUCUUUUCAAAAAUACAAACUAACCCACACCCACAAAAGUUCCCUUCCUCUGCAAAUCAAUCUCUCUCUCUUCUCACUUUCUCUCGAUAGUUUCUCUCUCUAACUUUUCUCAACCAACAACUUUUCAAAUUUCUCCCUUCAAUUUUGUGCAACUUCAACCUCGGGCAACAAAUAGUUUUGAGUUCUUGCCCAUUCCUUUUUUACUUUCAACCGUCAGUUGAUGUGACAACAUUCUCCGGCGACAACAACUUCGCGUUCUUCAUCAUUUCUUUUCGAUUUUCACAAGUAAAAAAUUAGAGCUUUUAAGUUAAGACGAAAAUAAGUAACUUUAUUUGUUGGUGUUUGUUAUUUUUUUUAAUGUUUUUUGUUAUUUUUUUAAUGUUUGUUAUUUUUUAGUUGAAUUUCUUAUCUGGAUGUAUCUGCUACUGUUGUUUUUUAAUAAUGGAUUAAACAUGUAACGUAAAUCCAACAGAUGAGUAUUUGUUGCAAUAUAUAUGACUAAUCUGUUGCACAAAUUAGUAAUCUGUUGCAACAUAUAUGACUAAUAUGUUGCGCAGAUUAGUAAUCUAUUGCAACAUAUAUGACUAAUCUGUUGCACAGAUUAGUAAUAUAUUGCACAGAUUAGUAAUAUGUUGCAACAUAUAUGACUAAUCUGUUGCAACAUAUAUGACUAAUUUAUUGCAACAAAUGAGUAAUCUAUUGCAACAUAUAUGACUAAUUUGUUGCAAUAAAUGAGUAAUCUGUUGCAAUAUAUAUGACUAAUCUAUUGCAACAGAUUACUCAUCUUUUGGAUUCGUUUUAUAGUGUUGUAAUAUGAAUCCAAUAUAUGAGUCAUCUGUUGCAACAGAUUAGUCAUUUAUUGCAAAAAUUACUCACUUAUUGCAAUAGAUGACUCAUAUGUUGGAUUCAUGUUGCAGGUUCUAUCCAUUGUAGCAGUAGCAGAUACACCAAAUAAGAAAUUCAACAAAAAUUAUAAUUUUACUUACAAAAUAAUCUAUGAAGUAAUGUCCAAGUGAUAUACGAACNNNNNNNNNNNNNNNNNNNNNNNNNNNNNNNNNNNNNNNNNNNNNNNNNNNNNNNNNNNNNNNNNNNNNNNNNNNNNNNNNNNNNNNNNNNNNNNNNNNNNNNNNNNNNNNNNNNNNNNNNNNNNNNNNNNNNNNNNNNNNNNNNNNNNNNNNNNNNNNNNNNNNNNNNNNNNNNNNNNNNNNNNNNNNNNNNNNNNNNNNNNNNNNNNNNNNNNNNNNNNNNNNNNNNNNNNNNNNNNNNNNNNNNNNNNNNNNNNNNNNNNNNNNNNNNNNNNNNNNNNNNNNNNNNNNNNNNNNNNNNNNNNNNNNNNNNNNNNNNNNNNNNNNNNNNNNNNNNNNNNNNNNNNNNNNACAAUGGGACAAACAUUUGUGUUCUCCUAAAAAUAUUUGAGUUCCCUAGUAUUUUAAUUAUUUUCCAACAGAUUAUCUAUUUGUUGCAACAAGUUAGUCAUCUAUUGCAACAAAUGUUUAUAACAGGUUAGUCAUUUGUUUAUUCAAAUUAAGCAAUUAUUAAUAAUAACUAAAUUAAUUUAAUUAAAAUUGAAGACAAGUCUUUAAUACAAAACCUUAGAUAAGGGGACAAAUGUUUGAGUUCUCCUAAAGACAUUUGAGCUUUAAUAUUUUAAAUUUUUUUUCAACAUAUAUCGAACUCGGAACCAAAAUGUGCCACGGAAUUGAAAAAGUGACCAAAAUAGGCCACCUAUUUAAAAAGUUAUCAAAAUAGGCUAAACGUAAUAAUUUAUUACAUUUUCUACUUUUUUCUUAAUGGUCAACUAACGGAGUUGACUUUUACUAAAACCUAAGAAUUUCUUACGUUUUACACUGUAACCGAGGAAAAAAAUACAAUGAAUUGUCAAAUCAAUUAAAAAGGUACUAAAAAAAGAGUUGUUCAACGUAACAAAAAAUUUCGUUCUUAACUUUUUUAUAGCAGUGGUCCCCCACCCACAAUUUCUUUUUCCACAAAUGUCCCAUCACUUCUACUUUUUUCUCUUUUUAUAUAUGAUAAUUAUGAAUUUUUUUAUUAGUUAAAUUUAUUUAUAUUUUAUAUGUAGUUCAAAGAAUUUAUUUUUUCUAAUAAAUUUUUACGUUUUACAUUAAAAACAAAUUUAAAAAAAGAAGUAUCAAUUACAUCAUUAACUUAACAAUUUUCUUAUAUUUAUUCUAUAUCAAAAAAUAAUCACUUCUAUCUUUAAUUAUCCUGUUUCUCUUUAAAAAAAAUUAUACUUUUGAGUUUUCCUCUACUAUAAAAUAGUGAAAUGUUGAAUUAUCGUCUAUCAAAUAUGCUACUAUACACAAGAAUUAUAUUUUUUUAGGAGUGUUCUUGAAAAAAUAUAUUUUCUUAUAUUAAUUUAGGAGUGUUCCUAAAUUUAAUUGUGAUUUUUACUCCAUUAAUUAUAAUAUGAAACGUAUUUGUGCAUGUGAGUCUCCUCAAUAUCCUAAUUGAAACAUUAAUCGAAACUACGAUGAAUCACUAUCCAAAAAAAUUAAUUUCAUAUUUCUAACAGACCAAAAAAAUAUAAUUCUUGUAUAUAGUAGUAUAUUUGAUCGAUGAUAGUUCAACAUUUAACUAUUUUGGAGUAAAGGAAAACUCAAAAGUAUAAUUUUUUUUAGAGAGAAAUCGGAUAAUUAAGGAUAGAAGUGAUUAUUUUUUGAUAUAGAAUAAAUAUAGUAAAAUUGAUAAGUUAAUGAGGUAAUUGAUACUUCUAUUUUUUUUUUUUAUAUAAAACGUAAAAAUUUAUUACAUAGAAGAAAAAUAAAUUAUUUGAACUACAUGUAAAAUAUAAAUAAAUCAAAAAAUUCAUAAUUAUCAUAUGUAAAAAGAGGAAAAAGUAGAAGUGAUGGGACAUUUGUGGAAAAAAAAAUUGUGGGUAGGGGACCACUGCUAUAAAAAAGUUAAGAACGUGACUUUUUGUUAUGUUGAACAACUCAUUUUUUAGUAUCUUUUUAAUUGAUCUAAUAAUUCAUUGCAUUUUUUUCCUCGGUCAUCGCGUAAAACAUAAGAAAUUCUUACGUUUUUGUAAAAUUCAACUCCGUUAGUUGACCGUUAAGAAAAAAUAGAAAACGUAAUAAAUUAUUACGUUUAUCCUAUUUUGGUAACUUUUUAAAUAGGUGACCUAUUUUGGUCACUUUUUAAAUUCUAUGGCUCAUUUUGGUUCUGAGUUCACAUAUAUAUUGUCUAUUUAAUAAUUUCCAAUAGAUGAGUCAUAUGUUGCAACAAUUUAGUCAUCUGUUGCAACAUCUGUUGUAACAGAUAUCUAUAUUUGUUGGAUAAUUCUCAAUAAAUGAGUUAGUUAUUGCAACAAGUUAGUCAUUUGUUGCAACAGAUGUCUAUAUAUGUUUGGUCAUUUUCAACAAAUGUCUUUAACUGUUUGGUCUUUUCCAGCAGAUUACUCAUCUAUUGCAACAUCUUAAUUGAAAUCGUAAUUGAACUUAUCAAUUCAUCUUUAAUUUUAGUUAAAUCAAUGUUGUUAUUACUAAUAAUGUCUUAAUUUGAAUUAUUACAAAUAAAAUUGGUCAAUUAACACUUUACUCAAGACGAAUAUACUUAGAUGAUCAUGUAAUUACUAUUUAAUUAAUUGAAAUCGUAAUUAAAUUAUCAAUUUAUCUUUAAUUUUAGUUAAAUCAAUUUAGUUAUCACUAAUAAUUACUUAAUUUUAAUUAUUUCAAAUCAAAUUGGUCAAUUGAUCAUUCUACUUAAGACGAAACACUUAGUUGAUCAUGUAAUUACUAUAGAAUUAAUUGAAAUUGUAAGAGAACUUAUUAAUUCAUCUUUAAUUUUAGUUAAAUCAAUAUAGUUAUUUCUAAUUAUGGCUUGGUUUGAAUCAUUUCAAAUAAAAUUGGUCAAUUGAUCACUCUACUCAGGACGAACACACUUAGUUGAUCGUGUAAUUACCAUGAGAUUAAUUGAAACAGUAAUGAACUUAUUAAUACUAGUUAAAUCAAUUUAGUUAUUACUAAUAUAAUGACUUAAUAUUAAUCAAUAGAUGACUAAGAUGUUGCAAAAGAUAAGUAAUUUGUUUGGUCAUUUUUAACAAAUGUCUUUAAAUGUUUGGUCUUUUCCAGCAGAUUACUCAUCUAUGGCAACAUGUUAAUUGAAAUCGUAAUUGAACUUAUCAAUUCAUCUUUAAUUUUAGUUAUAUUAAUGUAGUUAUUACUAAUAAUAUCUUAAUUUGAAUUAUUUCAAAUAAAAUUGGUCAAUUAACACUUUACUCAAGACGAAUACACUUAGAUAAUCAUGUAAUUACUAUGAGAUUAAUUGAAAUCGUAAUUAAAAUUAUCAAUUCAUCUUUAAUUUUAGUUAAAUUAAUUUAAUUAUUACUAAUAAUUGCUUGAUUUUAAUUAUUUCAAAUAAAAUUGGUCAAUUGAUCAUUCUACUUAAGACGAAACACUUAGUUGAUCAUGUAAUUACUAUAAAAUUAAUUGAAAUUGUAAGUCAACUUACUUAUUCAUCUUUAAUUUUAGUUAAAUUAAUAUAGUUAUUUCUAAUUAUGGUUUGGUUUUAAUCAUUUCAAAUAAAAUUGGUCAAUUGAUUACUCUACUCAGGACGAACACACUUAGUUGAUAGUGUAAUUACCAUGAGAUCAAUUGAAACUGUAAUUAAACUUAUUAAUUCAUGCUUAAUUCUAGUUAAAUAAAUUUAGUUAUUACUAAUAUAAUGGCUCAAUAUGAACCAAUAGAUGACUAACAUGUUGCAAAAGAUGAGUAAUCUAUUGAAAAUGACUAAACAAAUAAAGACAUCUGUUGGAAAUGACCAAAUAGAUAAAGACAUCUGUUGGAAAUGACCAAACAAAUAUAGACAUAUGUUGCAAUAGAUGACUAAUCUGUUGCAAUAAAUGACACAUUUAUUGAAAAUUAUCAAACAAAUAUAGACAUAUGUUACAACAGAUGACUAAGUUGUUGCAACAGAUGACUCAUCUGUUGAAAAUUGUCAAACAUAUCGGAUGUAUGUUGAAAAAUAAUUUAAAAUACUAAAGCUCAGAUGUUUUUAAGAGAACUUAAAUGUUUGUCCCCUUUUCUAAGGUCUUGUCUUUAAUUUUAGUUAAAUCAAUUUAGUUAUUACUAAUAAUUGCUUAAUUUGAAUCAUUUUAAAUAAAAUUUAUCAAUUGAUCAUUCUAUUAAAGACGAAUACAUUAAUUGAAAUUGUAAGUGAACUUAUCAAUUCAUCUUUAAUUUAGUCAAAAUCAAUUUAUUUAUUACUAAUAAUGACUUAAUUUUAAUCAUUUGAAAUAAAAUUGGUCGAUUGAUCACACUCCUCGAGACGAAUACACAUAGUUGAUCAUGUAAUUACUAUGAGAUUAAUUGAAAUUGUAAGUGAACUUAUCAAUUCAUCUUUAAUUUUAGUUAUAUCNNNNNNNNNNNNNNNNNNNNNNNNNNNNNNNNNNNNNNNNNNNNNNNNNNNNNNNNNNNNNNNNNNNNNNNNNNNNNNNNNNNNNNNNNNNNNNNNNNNNNNNNNNNNNNNNNNNNNNNNNNNNNNNNNNNNNNNNNNNNNNNNNNNNNNNNNNNNNNNNNNNNNNNNNNNNNNNNNNNNNNNNNNNNNNNNNNNNNNNNNNNNNNNNNNNNNNNNNNNNNNNNNNNNNNNNNNNNNNNNNNNNNNNNNNNNNNNNNNNNNNNNNNNNNNNNNNNNNNNNNNNNNNNNNNNNNNNNNNNNNNNNNNNNNNNNNNNNNNNNNNNNUGAGUAAUCUGUUGGAAAUGACCAAACAAAUAAAAACAUUUGUUGAAAAUGACCAAACAGAUAUAGACAUUUGUUGCAACAAAUGACUCACUUGUUGCAACAACUAAUUCAUCUAUUAAAAAUUAUCAAAUAGAUAUAGACAUUUGUUGCAACAGAUGACUAAGUUGUUGCAACAUAUGACUCAUCUGUUGGAAAUUACUAAAAUAUGACUCGUCUGUUGGAAAUUACUAAAUAGACAAAAUAUGUGUUGAAAAGCAAUUUAAAAUACUAAAGCUCAAAUAUUUUUUAGGAGAACUCAAACGUUUCCCCCCUUGUCUAAGGUCUUGUCUUCUAUUUUAAUUAAAUUAAUUUAAUUAUUAUUAAAAUUACUUAAUUUGAAUCAACAAAUAACUAACCUGUUAUAAGUUUUUAUUGCAACAGAUGACUAACUUGUUGCAACAAAUAGGUGAUUUGUUGGAAAAUAAUUAAAAUACUAGGGAACUCAAACAUUUUUAGAAGAACUCAAAUGUUUGUCCCAUUGUCUUAAAGACUUGUCUUUAAUUUUAGCUAAAUCAAUUUCGUUAUUACUAAUACUUGCUNNNNNNNNNNNNNNNNNNNNNNNNNNNNNNNNNNNNNNNNNNNNNNNNNNNNNNNNNNAUUCAUCUGUUGGAAAUUAUCAAACAGAUAGAAAAUUUGUUAUAAUAGAUGGGUUAUCCAUUAGAAAGCAAUUAAAAUACUAGGGAACUUAAAUGUUUUUAGGAGAACUCAAACGUUUGUCCCCUCGAUCCUUUUGCAUUUGAUGUAUGAUACACUAUUUUUAUCUUCUUUACCUGUUUCAUAAAAUUUUUCAUGCGUUUCACUUAUUCGUUGUGCCCUUGUUGAAAUUUUUAGAAUCUUUUAGGUCAAAUUUUGUUCGUAUAUCACUUGGACAUUACUUCAUAGGUGAUUUUGUAAGUAUAAUUAUGAUUUUUGUUGAACUUUUUAUUUGGUAUAUUUGCUACUACUAUAAUGGAUAGAACCUGCAACAUGAAUCCAAUAUAUGAGUCAUUUAUUGCAACAACUGAGUAAUCUGUUGCAACAUAUGAAUAAUCUGUUGCAACAGAUGACCCAUAUGUUGAUUCAUGUUACAACAUAUAAUACAAAUCCAACAGAUGAGUAAUCUGUUUCAACAGAUGAGUAAUCUGUUUCAACAGAUUAGUCAUAUAUGUUGCAAUAGAUUACUCAUAUAGUGCAACAGAUUACUCAGCUGUGCAAUAGAUUACUCAUCUGUUAGAUUCACGUUACAUGUUUUAUCUACUGUUGAAAAAACAGCAGUAGCAGAUACACCCAGAUGAGAAAUUCAACUAAAAAUUAUAAUUUUACUUACUAAAAUCACCUAUAAGUAAUUCCCAAGUAAUAUACGAAUAAAAUUUGACCUAAAAAAAUUUGAUUAAGUAGCAAUAGUAGCGGUAACAACAAUGUUCACCAACAAGAAGAUGAUGAUGAUAACAAGAAGAGGUGAUAAUGAAGAACAAGAUGAUGAUAAUGAAGAAGAAGAUGAUGAAUAAAGCAACAAUAACAAUGAACAACAAAAAUCACGAAGAGAGAGAAAACUUCAAUAAAUGAGAAGAGAGAGAAACAUGCCUUUUUUUCACUUCAUUUCUAGUUAUAUUAGGUUCUACAUUAGAUCAAAGUGUAAAUUAAAAAACUUGUGGGUUAUUUUCAAAUUUUUCUUACUUUCUUAAUUCUUAAUAAAGUAAUUGUCACAUCCACUCAAUUAUUAAGACUUAUGUCACCCACACUUCAUUUUAAAACUCUUUUGUCACCUGUGACCCAAACUCCCAAGAAAGAAAAUGAAUAAAGAAAAAUAAUAACUAAAAAUGAAUUAAGAAAAUGAAGAAAUAUUAAAAAUAAUUUUUUAAUAAAUAAUUUUCGUUCUCACUCUCUUUAAAGAGAGUGAAACACACACUCUUGCCAUGUCAGCUUUUGGAGGUGUAAUAAUUUCACUUUAAAACAAUUCAUGGGGUCAUAGGAUCCCUGCAAAGUAUAGGUGUGUAGUUGAAAUUUGGGAUAAAGGUUGUGGGGGGCUUUUGACCCUUUUCUCUUUCCUUUAAUGUAGUACCUCCUUAAAUUAUUUCCUUUUAUUUAGGUCAUUAAAGUAAAUUAAAUUUGUAACUGUUAAAUGGGAAUAAAUAAAAAUCUAUUUAAGAUAGAAUCGUGUUGAUAAAAGAACCUAAUAAUAUAAAACAUAAGUUUAUUAGCGUUGUUUUUGCCAAAUAAAGUGCUAAAAAUAUUCUGAUAAGAAAUUCUCUUACCUGUUUGUUUAUUUUUUUUCUUGUGUAAUUGACCUUAUAAAAAUAAUGUACGUGCAAUUUUCAUCUCCUUUUUAUGUGAGUUUGUUAAACAAUUAGUUCUAAAGAUAUUAAAUUAAUUUCAUUCUUUAUUAAUUUUGUGCAAUUUUUUACAUCUUAUAAAGUAUAUUUGAUUUUCUUGAGUUGUAUUGCCAAAAUCCAUAAAUAGGGUUUGUAGUGUAAUUACAUUAACUUGUGUUACAAUUUAUUUUUUCAGUGUGCAAAUUUCUCCGAGUAAGCCUACUUUCUUCUCAAGUUACAGGGUUUGUAUUGUGAUUAAAUUAACUUGUAUUACAAUUUAUAUUUUCAGUGUGCAAAUUUCUACAAGAAGCCUACUUUCUUCUCAAGUUAUAUUUAGAUUUGAAAUUUCAGCAUGUACAUUCUUCACCAAGUAAGUCUAACAAAUUGGAUGCAACAAGCAUGUUGUCGCGGAAUAAAAUAGUUUAAUUAAUCAAAGGUUUUAUCUCUUUCUUUUUUUCUCUUUGUUGAACUAAAACUUUUUGAUUUGAUUAGUUAUUGUAGUAUCGUAGUCAUUCAAAUUUAGAUUAUUGUAUUUAAUUUGUUUAUCUUUUGGAUAGAGGUUUUUUUAAUAGAGUUGAAAUAGAACUGAGUUGGAGUUUCAUAAUAAGUGUGUCUUAAUUUGAAUCGACUUGUGAUUAAUACGUAUUUCAUGAUUUUUUUUUCAAUAUGGUAGAUUUUGGUGGAGUUGUUUAAAUUUUCGAUUUACAUAGUUAAUGGGAAAAACAUUUUAAUAAGGCAAUGAUAUGUGGUAUUUUUCAUCUGUUUUCUUAUGAUUUGAAUUUGUUUUUAUGAUUAUUCUUUUGGUGGGGACAAGAAUUGGGGAUGAUGAGUUAUUUUUUAUAAUUAAAAAUUAGGUUUUAAAUAUUUGUUUGUAUUAGACGGUGAUAAUUGAAGAAUUUGAUUGAAACUAAAAAUUUGAAUGUUGAUGUAGAAAUUAAAACUAAGUAUGGUUAUAUGAUGGAAGAAAUUCAGAACAAAAAAAUAAUUGGUGUUUUAGGGGUAAAUAUAAUUGAUAAUUUUUUUAUGUGGAUUGGUGGAAAGUCAGCGAAACUAUUUAAUUUGAGUUGAGGUUCUAUAGAAAAUAGUUUUUCUACCUUUUGAGGUAGUAGUAAAGUCUACUAUCUCGAAAUCCUACUUUAAGAGAUUACAUUAAAUAUAUCGUUGUUGUUUUUGUUUAGGAUAUCAAUCUUGGACUCAAACACGUAUAUGAAUUGAUGUUUAUUAUUAGGUCUAGAAAAAAAAUAAUUAGUAAUUAGAUGUUCUCAUUACUUUUUUUUAAUCUUUUCUUAUUUAGAAGAUGUUUUACCCCAUUCUUUUUAAAAUUACUUAUCACUUAUUUCUAUUUUUGAUUUGUGUAUCUACUUGUCAUUUUUGCAUAAUUCUCUUUUAUUGUGUAACAUAAUUAUCUUUUAUUAAUAUGUUAAAAAUAAAAAUUAAUUUUUUAAAAUGAUGAACAAGUAAAAGUAAAGGGAUGAAGCAUUUCAGUUACCUUGAUGAGUAUAAUAUAAAAGUCCAGUAUUUUAAAACAAACAAGUACGAAAAAACAGCACGAAAAAAGUUCUAAAUAUUUGGAUGUGAAAAAGUAGCAUCAAAAGAAUUCUAACAGUAUGUUAAAUUAUUAAAAUUAAAUGUGAAAUCAAUUGGAUAGCACCUACCAAAAUGGAUUGAAACAUGUGUGUAUGUGAAUUUGAGGGAAGGAGAGAAUAUAGAAGUUUACAGAAUAUUUAGGAGGCUUAAAUUAUGAAUAAUUGAGGAGACAAUCAGUAUUAUGAAUAUGUAUCAAUAUCAAUGUGGCUUACGUUUUAUAAUGAAGGUUAAGAAACUAAAGACCUUGACCAAAAUUUUAAGCUUGUUUAUUGAAACAAAAAUUAAGGGUGGUUUUUUUUUUUUUUUUAAAAAAAAAAGAGAAAUAUAAAGGUUGACAUUUAUAAAAUUUGCAUGAAGCCAUAAAUUUAUUAUAUCUUCCAACUUUCAUUUCUUUGAAAGAUUUAAAGGGCAGUCCGGUGUACUAAAGCUAUUGCUAUGUGCGGUGUUCGGGGAAGGGUCCCACCACAAGGGUGUAUCGUACGCAGCCUUACGUUACAUUUCUGCCAAAAACUGUUUUCAAGGCUUGAACCCAUGACCUCCUGCUCACAUGACAGCAACUUUACUAGUUACUCCAAGGCUCCCUUCAUUUCUUUGAAAGAUUAUAUCUUAUAUAUAGGGUUAAAGUUUCAUAGCUAUAACAAUCUUUUUUUAAUCUGAAGGAUCACGUUUUGUUUAAAUAAUCAUAACUAUGCCAAAAAAUUCUUCAUAAUGAAAAUUUUCAAAAGGCGACUCAAAAGACUGAGGGAGGCUGAGUUAUAAGUUUGCUACAUGUAACUUAGGUAUUGAACAAAUAAUUUUAAAAAAAUUCACCUAUAUGUAACACCAAAAUAAAAUAGAAAAUUUUUGUGUGUCAAAAUAGAUUUAGAAGUCCUUAUUAUUUGAAUAUAAUUAUAACCAAGUAAUUUUUAAUGUUAUUUGGACAAUAAGUAAUUAGUGAGGGUAAAAUUGAAAAAAUAUAAGCAAUUUUUUCUUGAUAUAUCAAAAAUAAUAAGCAAAAAAUAAAAUUCAAUUUUAGAAAUAAGUAACAAGUAAAAAUGAGAGUAUCUUUUUUUAUCUACUUUCAAUGUUUCCGUCAUUUUAUUCUACAUUUAUCUUUUUUUUUUUGUUGCACUAAAUAUGGAAAUAAAGAACAUACAAUUUACACUUUUAAAGUGACAUAUAUUUCCUCCUCUUUAACUCUUAAGUACUUGUCAUUUUUAUUUUGCAUAUUUUUUAAGUAAAACUUUAACUAGAAAGUAAUUUGACUAAAUUAUACUUAUUUAUUAUUCAUUUCAAUCUAAUAUAAUACUUGUCUCUUUUACACCACAUUAACAUAUCUUCAUAUUUAUAACGAAGGACAAAGGUAAAAACAAUCUAAUGAUAGCUUGAUUUUCUAAAAUAACAAGUACUCCUCCGUUUCUUCUUAAUUGUCAUCAUGAGACUUUGCAUAAUCAUUAAAAAAAAUAAUUAGGAGUGUAAUUUAACUCAUAUAUUUCUUAUUAGUCUUGUCUAUUUAUGUAUUUACUAAUUCUAGAAUAAUUAAUGUUAAGAACAAACUUGAAAAAAAAAUUAAUUCUUUCUCGGUUAUUUUAGAAUUGAUCAUUAUUUAAGAAUAAUUAUUUUCAAUAUACAUGACAACUAAAAGAAAACGGGAAGUGUAUUGCGAGCCAUCUAUUUUUAGUAAAGAAUAUUUGGUCGUCGCCCAUAUUCCAGCCAAAGGCCCAUGACCCGGUCCUAUUAUCUUUAUGGUUUUCAAUCGUAUUUGAAAAAGGAUUUGAAUUUCUAUUUCUAUUUGGAGUUGGUUUGACUUUAUGAAAAACAAUAUCCAUCAUUUAUAACUAGGACUAUUUGAGGAAGAACUAUUCAUGCUCAUUGGUAUUUGUCUUUGACAGAUAUUAGCACAUACGACAGGAUUUUGAGAAAGACUUUCACCAAAGAGAGAAGAGAGAAAGAGAGUUUAGUUGCUACAGUUUUUUCCUCAAGAGAGUUUAGUUGCUGCAAUUUUUUCCUCUCCAAACAACCAACUUCAGACUGUGUUAUCGCCUUGUUCAUCAUUGAAUCGGGCUGAAAUUAUAAUUGAGUGUUCCUAACAUUUUGGUGUUUGAUCUGAAUGAUGGAGAUCGAAUUUGGAGGUUCGUAACAUUCGAUUUUGAGUUUCGAAUAGUAGCUCUAUUUUGUGUGCUUUCUCUUGAUUUAUAUUUGUUGGUGUAGCUAUUGCUUCUCCGUAUUUGAAUCUUGGUGUGUGACCAUUUAGAGAAUAUUUGUAACUCUCUUAUCGUUAUAGUGGAGUAAUUUGGAUCUCUGUGAUUCCGUAGUUGUUACCUUCAGCUUGAAGGAUUUUUUCACGUUAAAUUUGGUAUUCUUUACUUUCUUUAUUUUUGUAUUUACCUCUUUCUAUCAUAACAAGGAAGAUAAUAUAUAGGAACAAAAUGAGUAUUAAACAACAUAAUGGUCGUUUAACAAAAUGAUGGUACUCAAAAACUGUAAUAUUUAGUUGACAAUAAGGUGAUGAUUUUUUUUUAUUCAUAUUAUAUUUCAUGUUAUAUUUUAAAAGUGUUGUACUUAAUAAUGUAACGAGAACAUAAUAAAUUAUUAUUUUUUAUGUGUUUAUUAUUACGAACGUUAUAUACACGUGCAACACACGUAUACUAAACUAGUAAUCUAAUAAAUGCAUAUAUGAUAAUUUUCACUUAAGCUAAACAUUAAUGAAAGUGGGUCAGAUGAAUAAGCCUAGGAAAAAUUUCAGAAAUAACAACUAUAGAGUUUUAAUUGUAACUUUUAUAGCAACAGUUUCAUAAUUACGAAAAAUAGCAAAUUGUAUUUUGUAUUUAAGUAAACUGUUGCUACACAGAUACAUAUACAACAAGAUUUAUUGUCCUUGUUUUACUCAAAUUAGUUGAAUUAAAUAAGAAAUAAUUAUCUAAUCUAAUUAAAUUCCCAUAAAUUACUUUUAUUUAGAUUAGUAGAUUCAUUUUCCAAAUCAAACUGAAAUAUGAAGAUUAUUAUUUCCAUGAUCUUCAAAAUUUCAAAAUAUCAUUCUCUUAUAUCUCUAACAAUUUUUUCUUGCUAAUUUUUAAUUUUUUUUUAAUCUUUUUUUUUUUUAAUUUUUUAUUUUAUUUUUUUCUUUCCACUUUAUUUUCUCUUUUUUUUUUCCUUUUUCGUUUUCUUUUACUUUUUUCGUUUUUUUUUUCCUUUUCUUCUUAAUUCUUUUUUUCUCUUUUGUUUUUACACUUCUAUUUCUCUUUCUUUUUUUUUCUUUUUGCUUUUUUUUCUCUUCUAUCUCUAUCUUUUAUUUUUAAAAGACAAAUAUCUAUAUCAUAUAUACAUAUUCAAAAAAUAUACAAAAUAAUAGACAUACAGAUCUACAUAUGUAUUUACGGUAAAAACAUACAUAUAUAUCUGCACAUUUAUUUACAGAAAUACAUAUCUGACUCACAUGUAUAUAUAUAAACAUAUAGGACACGAAAUCUCUAUAACAAAAAUGACAAUUAUAUACAUAUACAUAUAGGUAGUAAAAAAAUACAUGAUACAUAUCUUAAACAAUAAAAGAAAAUAAAUAAGUACAUAUUUUACCCUCUAAAAUGACAUAAUAUGUACAGUUUAAAGACAAAUCUAACACCGUACAAAAUACAUAUAGCUCUGCGUAUAUAUUUACAGAAUACAUACCUGAUUCAUAUGUAUAUUUUUAUUUUAUAUGAGUCACCUUUGUAUUUCGCAAAUACAUAUGAAGAUAUAUAGUAUAGUUAUGUUUGUUACUGUUUAAUAUGAAUAUGAUAUGUAUUUCAUAAAUACAUAUGUAUGUUUUGUACUGAAAUAUAUAUCCACAUCUAUAUAGCUAUGUAUUUUGUAUGUUUUUUGAACAUGUGUAUGUGAUAUACAUAUUUGACUUUUCAAAAUAAAAGAGUGAAAAAUGGAAAAAACUAAAACAAAAUACGAAAAAAAAAGUGAAAAAGAAAAAAAAAAGAAGAAAGAGAAAUAGAAGUAUAAAAAUAAAAGAAAAAAAAGAAACAAAAUAAAAUAGAAAAAGAAAAAAAAGAUAUGAGAAAGAAAAAAAAGAAAACGAAAAAGGAAAAAAAAAGAAUAGAAGAGAGAAAAUAAAGUGAAAAGAAAAAUAAAAAAGAAAACAGAAAAAGAAAUCAAAAUAAAAAAAUAAAAUGAAAAAAACUAAUAAAAAAAGGUAGAGAUAUAAGAGAGUGAAAGAUAGUAAUGAUGUUUUAUAUUGAAAUCUUGAAGAUCAUUGAGAUAAUUAUCUUCAAAAACGAAAAAAAGAAAAAGAAAAAAAAGAAAUAUAAGAGAGAAAAUAAAGUGGAAAUAAAAAAAUAAAAAUAAAAAAAAUAAAAAAAUAAGAUGAAAAAAAGGGGUGAAAGAUAUGACUAUAUUUGUGGGAGGUGAAAUAGCGGAGUGAAAAUAGAAAAAUGUAAAGUAGUGAGAGUAAAACAUGCACUUGCCUAGUUAAUGGGUAAAAUAAUGUUACUCUUGCUAUAAACUGUAAUUUUAAAAAAUUGCUGCUAUUUAUUGUAAUGAUAGUCUUAACUAUGCUAUUUUCUGUAAUUUUUUCAUAAGCGCCUAAUACAACUUCAAAUUGGCUUCAACAUACAAUAUGUUGGACCUUGUCAUCUAUGGCUUGUAUCUUGAAAAAAUUACACAAAUAAUCAAACUUAAGCACCAUUAUUUUUAAAAAUUCCACACCUUUUAAAAUAUUUCAUAAUAUAUCACUUUUUGAAUUUCUAUAUUUGAUACAUAUAUUUUUCACUCUCAAAAUCACACAAACUCCUACUUCUUAGUCCCAAAUUUCUCCUUUCCAUUUUAAAAAUUUCUCACCCCAAAAUAAUCAAUAACUUCUCUCCAAAUUUGAGGUUCAAUCAAUUAUCUCUCUCAUCCUUCUAUUGCAAAUGACAUUCAAGUUAAUUUGCUGAAAAAAUUCUUAUUUUUUCGAGAAGUGAGUGGAAUGUUGAACUUGAUUUUAAGGAGGAUUACUUUAUCUUAAUUUCAAAACAUAUUUUUUGUGUUUAUUUUUUUAUUUUUUUAUGGAUUCCUAUGAUUUACCAUCAUUUAGUUUGGUGUUACCCAAAUUGAUAAGAACAUUGUGGGUUCUUCAAGUGGUGAAGUGGUGGAUUUUAUUCCGGACACAUAACAUUAUACUAUACUAUGAUGUGUUUCAAGGCAAAAUACUAUAUGUAUCAAGGCUAAAUAGUAUAUGUAUCAAGGCAAAAAAUACUGACACAAAAUAUUAAAUGUAUCAAGACCAAAUACACUAAUACAAAACAGAUGAAUCAAAUACAUAUAUCAAGAUGUAUCAAAAAAAUUUAAGUUGUGUAAACACAUGACAGUGAAACCCUGCAAUCAUAAUAUUUCAAAUGUAUCAAUAUCUCCAAAUAAAUGUAUCAAAUUCACAUAUCAGACUUGAAAUGUAUCAAAUCUAACAAAUGCAAAUAAUAUCAGUAUGAAGUAUAGAUUAUCAAAAUCACUUAACUAGGGACAACAAUGAAUUAAAAGUGUCAGCUCAUAAAAGUAUCAAAUGUGUUCAGAUCUUUGCAAACUGUCAUAUGUAUCAAUUGAAAAUUUUGAAGUUUUAUUACCACGUUCAAGAUGCAAUUGAGAUGAAGAGGAAAGAAAAAAUAAUGAAGAAUUUGUGUUAAAAUUGUAGUUUUCAAUCGAGUAUUAUUUUAAGAGAUGAAUACUUUGAUUCUUUGGUUAAUUUUUACGUUAUUGUGUUUUCAAAACUGCUAAAACGUGAUUUACUCCCCAAUUCAAAGAGAUUUUGUUAUUUCCUUAUUUAGCUAACCAUUUUUUUUUCAAAAGUAUCAAAACACAUAUGUAUCAAGACCAAAUAUACCUAUAAUCUAUAUCUAUAUAAUAUAUUAAAAGCAUGAAUACCCUUAGAAAAGUGAUUUGAACUUUUUGUCCUUCAUUAACAGUUUCUUCUUCAGUCAAAAUCAACAUUUGAUAUAUACAUUAAAAAAAAUUAAUUUAAAAUUAUUUUAUCUAUCUUAAUUUUUAACUUAAAAGAAAGCAAAAACCAAUUUUAAAAAAGAAAAGAAAGCAUAAACGUAAAAACAGACCUAAAUCUAAUAAAAACCUCAAAAUGAUUUUUUUUCUAAAUUGGCAUGUAGAAAACAGAAAAAAAUAGCGUCCUAAUGAAAAACCUCAAAGUAGAAAAAAAAUAAGUGAAAAGUAAAAAACUAUAUACAUGUAUUAGAUAAAGAAUCCUUUGAAGAGUAUAAUUUAUGUGAAGAUAAUUUAAGUAAUUUAAUUUUUCUUUUAAGUAUGCAAUUUUUUUUAGAUGUAAAAUUUAUUAUAUUUUAUCCAUAUUAAAAUUCUAAUUUAAUUUUUCUUUUAAGUACACAAUUCUUUUAGAUGUAAAAUUUAUUAUAUUUUGCCCCAAUUAAAAUUCUAAAGUCCUAACAACUACGAGAACAAAAUUUUAUGUCGAUUUCAUGGCCUUUGUAUUUAUAUAUUCAUGCGUGGUAGCCAUCUUUCUCAAUAUAGUGCAUGUAUCAAUAUUGUUUGCAUAUUGAUUCUUGCUGUGUCUUCAACAAAAUGAUAUAUUUCCUUUAUUGAUUCUUUUUUAUCUAUAGAAGUUUAUGCGGAUUUUUUUUUUCUAUUUAAAGGAAACACAUGUUAUAAUUAUCUCACAGUUGUUUCACACUUAACGUAUGGUGUCAUUCUGAUCACCUUCUAUUCUUUUUAGUGAAGGACUCUUUCUUUUCUCCAUAAAUACAAUACAUGGAUUACACAUUAUUUUGUAAGUUCAUGUUUGUGAAAAGAAAAUAGUGAGAGUAAUAAUUUUUUUUUUCAUAUAUAUAGUUUUAUUUGUUGACGUAAAAUACACGUGCAAAGCAUGCAUACUAAAUUAGUGUAUCAGAAAACGUAAAAAGUGGUAUAUUAAAUAAUUAAAAAAAAUUGUGAUAAAAAAGGUUAUUAACACCUUAAUAUUUGGUAUUUAUGUAAGUUACCUUUGCAACUUCACAUGUUCACUCCUAAUUCAUCUCAGUUCAAUUUUUUGACAUUUUUAUCCACUCCUAGUUUCAACUACAAUUAAUCUAAUUACCGAUCAAGGAUAAUAAUAUUUACAAAGAUUGUCAUAUAAUAUCAAUCUUUUACGGUGAUAUUUGUUUUUCAAUUAGUAAUACAAAUAGAUUUUCUAAUAGUGUGAAGUGAUUUGUUCUCAAUACGUUAUUUCGCUUAAUAUCAUCCUUAACUAUCCUUCUUUCUAUGAAAUAAAUAUAAAAGAUGUACAUUUCCUGACCAGUCCUAAGGUUUUCUCAUUUUACUGAAAAUAUUAUAAUUUCAUAAAAGGAAUAAUUUUAAACAAAUAAUCUUUAUCAUAUAAUAUGCAAUAUUUUAUGAUUAUAUUUGAACUGUAAAAAAUCUAAUUUCAUAUAACGAAUAAAUAUUACUAUAAAUAUUCUUUAUCAAAUAAUUGUACUUUUUAUAUGGUAGUAAACUAGUAACGUUUAAACUACAAUUAUUCUUAUAUCUAUACAAAAAAUAAUAAGCAGUAUUUUUAAGAAUUAUCAUAUAAUAUCACUCCUUAUAUGAUAAUACUAGAUAUCGAGGAGUCCUUAUUAGCACGAGUUCAAUAUUUAUUAUUUUUCUGGUCUCAAUUUAUAUGACACGAUUAAAAUUUAAAUAGUCAAUCACGUUUUUAUAUGAUUUUUACAUAUUUAAAAUUGUCAACUAUAUUGUAAUUUAUACACUUUUACGUAAUUUUUAAAUAAUUUAUGUUACUCCCUUCGUCCCAAUUUUUGAGGCAUUGAUAAAAUUUGAGAGUCAAUUAAAUUUUUUAAGUUGUUAAUUAUUGCAAUGUGUAAUACUUUUUUUUUUGUCCCAACACAUGCGCACUGAUAAGAUUAUGAGAGCCAAUCAAAUUUUUAUAUCUUUUAAAUUUUUUAAGUUGUUAUUAUUGUGAUUUAUAAUAUUUUUUAUGUAAUUUUUUUAAAUACAUAACAAAUAAAAAAAUAAGAUAAGCAAAUUAAAAAAAUGAAAAAAUAAAGAAAGACAAAUGACCAAUAAAUAUUAUGCCAAAAACAAGCAGACCCGACACAAGUUUAUUGACCCAUUGCCUUUUAUAAGUAUGUUGAUUUGAGCUUCAAUUUUUCUAAUUUAUAUCUACGAAAUAAUAAUUAUAAUAAUAUUAAAAAAAUUAUCAUAUAAAAUCAUGGAAAAAACUCAAAUAUACCAUCAAAUUAUUGAAAAUAGUUCAUUUAUGUCAUUGCCUUUAAAAAUUUGGAUCAUCUAUAUCACUUUUAUUACAGAAAAGUUUAUUUCUGUUAUUAUUUUGCAAUAGUGAUUUUAUUAAAUUAUUUUUGUCACAUGACCUCUUAUUAGAAGUCCACGUCACAAAAUCUAUAUUAAUCAAUAUUACUUAAAUCAAAAUAAAAAAAUUAUAUUAGUUAAAAUAAAAUCUGCCAUAAUUAAUGAAUUUGCUUUUUGUUAUUAAUUAGUUCAUUUUUUAUUUUUAAUAGGUUCGAUUUUAUUUUAACUGUGUGGAUCAAGUUCUAUUUUAAGGAGUUCAAUUUUUAUAUUUUAUUUAAGUAAUAUUAAUUUAUUUAGAAUUCGUAAUGUGAAUCUCUAAUAAAAAACCAUGUGGUAAAACUGAUUUUAUAAAAAUAGUCGUUAUAAAAUAAUGAUACAGAUGAGCUACAUUUUUAAAAUCAGUAACAUAAAUAAACUAAAUUUAUAACAAAUGAUAUAAAUGAGCUAUAUCUCCAAUAAUUUGGAUCUAUUUAAACUUUUUCCCAAAAAUCAUUGAUAAUAUCGAUUGGUUAACUUUCACUCUCACAACCCUCAGUUUCGACAAUAUAUAUAUAUCGUCCACUAUUGCACGAAGGGAACUCUCUCAACAACUACACUACAAGAACACUGCUCCCGCAAUUCAGAUACAUGAGUGCUGACUAGUCUUUGCGUUCAUAAAAGAAAGAGCCCUUAAACAUUGAAAAUCCCCUCCAUAUUUCUGUACAUGAACAACAACUCUCUUUAAUUUAUCCUUUAUACUGCUAUGGAUGACUCUCUAAUUCUUUUGCUUUUUUUCCUUAUGUUGUCAUCCUUUUUCAUUCAAUCAAUUUCUACUAAGCAGCAGUCACUCAUUCUGCCCCUCACAGCUAAGAAAAUUUCAUCUGUCUCCAUCCCGAAACCUCCUAAUAGAGUUGCUUUUCACCAUAAUGUUUCCCUUACCGUCUCUCUUUCUGUAGGGUCUCCUCCACAGCAAGUUACUAUGGUUCUUGAUACAGGAAGUGAACUUUCCUGGCUUCAUUGUAAGAAAACCACAGCCACACCCUCUGUGUUCAACCCGCUUGUUUCUAAAUCCUACUCCGCUAUCCCCUGUUCGUCCGCAACAUGCAGGACGAAAACUCGGGAUUUCUCAGUACCCGUUUCUUGCGACCCAAAAAAGCUCUGCCAUGCUACGUUGUCCUAUGCUGAUGCUUCUUCUGUUGAAGGUAAUCUUGCUUUGGAGACUUUCCGUAUCGAUAAUUUGAAUUUGCCCGGAAUGGUGUUCGGGUGCAUGGAUGCGGGUUCAAGUUCAAACCCGGAAGACGCCAAGACUACCGGGUUGGUAGGAAUGAACCGUGGAGGUUUAUCUUUAGUUUCUCAAAUGGGUUACCCGAAAUUCUCUUAUUGCAUUUCGGGUCGUGACUCUAACGGCGUUCUAUUAUUCGGAGAGGUGGAUUUGCCGUGGCUUAGGCCACGGAAGUACACUCCGUUAGUUCAAAUGUCAACUCCGUUACCUUAUUUUGACCGGGUUGCUUAUACGGUCCAGUUGGAAGGAAUUAAAGUUGGUGGUACGGUUUUACCUUUGCCUAAAUCCGUAUUUGUCCCCGAUCAUACUGGAGCAGGUCAAACCAUGGUUGAUUCGGGUACACAAUUUACGUUCCUACUUGGUCCGGCUUACACAGCAUUAAAAAAUGAGUUCAUGAAGCAAACGAAAGGAGUGUUGAGGAACUUGAACGACCCGAAUUUCGUAUUUCAAGGGGCAAUGGACUUGUGUUACCUAGUUGAGUCAACUCGUACUACACUACCACCGUUACCACCAGUAACUUUGAUGUUUCCAGGUGUGGAAAUGAGUGUCACUGGUGAAAAAUUACUCUACAAAUUAGCAGGGGCGACUAGAGGAAAGGAUCAAGUAUAUUGCUUUACAAUAGGUAACUCAGACUUACUGGGGGUAGAGGCAUACAUUAUUGGACAUCAUCACCAACAAAAUUUCUGGAUGGAAUUUGAUUUAGCAAACUCUAGAGUUGGAUUAGCUGAAGUUAGUUGUGAAUUAGCUAGUCAAAAAUUAGGACUAGGCUUAUAAUUAAUGUUUUAAUCGACAAUUUUGUGUCUUGUAAAUAAGUGAGCGUGGUCGGACUAGGUACAAUCCAUGGCUUAGUUUUUUGUGGUGGACCAUUGUGUUGACAUGGGAAGUUUGUUCUUUUGUUUGUGUUGAUUGAAGAAAGGACCAUUAAAGGUGUGAAACUUGGGAAGUGUGAAAAGAUUUUUUCUGUUCUCAAAUUUGUGGCGCCAUUGAGUUUACAGUACCAGUAGUACUAUUCUACUAAUUUCAAUUUGGCUUCUCGUGAUGCAACUGGCCUUGAUAUGGGUCGUUGAUUUUAUUUUUUUUGUCUAGUCAUAUCACGUUAUUUUCUUUCUCUUGUUAUUAUUCAAUGGGUAAGCGCUCAAUGAACAAACAUUUUUAUUUGAACAUAGUGGAUGAUUAACCCUGUAUAGACUGAAAUACAAAAAAGAAGAGGAAAAAAAAAAGGAAGAGACAAAUAUAUAGAGUGUUGGAAGGUUUGACUAGAAAUUGCCAGUUGGCGAGGCCGCCAUAUACAACGGCGUUUACACGUCUCGUCAAUUGUCAUGAGAUCCAGCUGUCAAAGAUGUGUACCCAAUUUUGGUUUGGUUCAGAAUGGUCAACCUCUCGAUUCAAGAUUAUGUUAUUUCAAUAAUCAAUUUACUUUGUUUUAAUCAAGUUUUAGAUAAUUUAUAAUCACAUUAAUAUUUAUUUACCUACUUGAUUUAGGUCAUAAAUUUCAAAAAUUAACCUAUCUCCUAUCCUCUAAAAUUUUGACUUACCUCUUAUCCUCUAAAAUUUUAGGACUUAUCCCUUAACCAAUUUAUAUCUUUGCAAAAUUAUUUUUUUUAAAAAAAAAGAAAAAAGCCAAUACGGUAAAGGGUGAAGAAAAAAAAUACACUUUUAACAAACAGGGCUUAGGAGAGGAAAGGAGGGAGGUUACUAUGCAUAUAUAUACAUAUGAAUACUUUUACCUGAUAAACCAAAUAAUAGUAAACAUUUCCAGGGUUUAGAAUUAUUUUUUUUCAAUUUCAAAUUUCAUGAUAAUUGAUUGCACUUCGUAAUUAUGUUGCUCGGACUCUUUAAAAAUAGCCAUUGAUACUUGUCGGAUUCUUCAAAAUAGUAUAUAUUUGUAAAACCUGACAUGAGUGCGGCAUCAAAAUGAAAAAUUCGCAAAACUUAGCUUCGUAAUCAAAACAUUACUACAUUGCCUCCAAAUUCUUCAAAUAGAUAGAUUUGAUAUUACAUUUUGUGAAAAACUUUAUUUUAUAUGAGAUGCGCCAUGUCAUACUUGUAUGGAGAUUUAUUAUUUGACAUGUGGAAUUUUUGUUGAUUGAGUGAGACUCAAAAUAAAUUUUUUCUACACUACGUACCUAAACACUUCCUGUGAGAAUCCGAUAGUAAAUGAUCAAAUUACACAUGAAUUAUAUCCCCUGAAUGUUGUCGUAGUGAAAACACGUAAAAUGUUUUGAGGUAAUUAAGUUCAAUUUGGAGGUUUUCCUACCUUCUAGGUCACUAGGCCGAUGAUUGUGUGCUAUUAUAAAGUUUGAGUCCGGAGUCAAAAGGGCUCUUAUUUGAAUCAAGAAUUUUAAAAGGAAUACUUAAUUUUGAAAAAAAUUAAAACGGACAAAACACUGUGGGCCAACAACUUGCAUAUUUCACUGCAUAACUUUUUUUUUUUUUUUGGAAAUGUGAAAAUAUAAGGAUAUAUUGUUGUUGCAUUUGGUAGUAAUUAAAUAAUUUCUUUUGAUUUAUUAAAUUUGCAGGUCUUGGGAUACUAUGUGAAAAGGUAAAUUGGACAGGUAAGAUUUUUAAAUUUUUAAAAAAUAUUUUUACCUUAUAUAUUUAAUUUUCUUCAAUUCAAUACCAUGACAUGACAUACAUAGUUUUAAUUAUUUUUUAAGAUAAUACAUAAAUAUGACCCUAAACUUAACAUCAAAUUAUAACUUUGACCUUAAACUUUGAUAGUGCACAAAUAGGACCUUUAACUAUUCAAAACCUAAACAAAUAUGACCUCCAAUUUUGCAACCCCAUGCGUAAGUUUCACUCGCGCCUACGUGGAAAGAUAAUCCCAUCACACGGUACCACGUUGUUAAAAGAGCUGACUUGAAUGGAGGUCAUAUUUGUGCAGUUUUGAAUAGUUAAAGGUCAUAUUUGUACACUAUCAAAGUUUUGCUUUUUGUAUUAAAACGACAUCGUUUUUUUUUAAAUUAUUAUUAUUAUUAUUGUUGUUGUUAUUUAUAAUAAUAAUGAUAAUAAUAAUAAUUUUUUUAUUUAUUCAGCAGCACCUAAUUUUUUUAAAUUAAAAAUUAUUAUUAUUAUUAUUUAUUUCUAUAGCAGCAACACACCUAACUUUUUUUUAAUUAAAAAAAACAGCCACUAGCAGGGAUCGAACCCGCGCAGUAGGCUAAAGAAAGCGCCCAAAAAGAGCAAAUAACACCACUGAGCUAUCUAAGUGUCUUGUUUCAUAUGAUUCAACAUUAAUAUACGUACAUAAAUAUACAUUUUCUAUCUUAUAUAUAUACAACGUAAUUUUUUUACCAAGGGGGUCCGGGUAAACCCCAUGGCAACCAUGUAGGUCCGCCCCUCGUUAAUUUAAUAACAUUUUAAUUACGUUAAUUUGAUAACGUUAAUUUAAUAUACUACUACUAUCCUUAAUAACAUUAAUUUAAUAACGUUUUAUUAAAAUUAAAAUUUUUUAAUUAUCAGUAUAGUUUCAUCUUUAAUUUAAUAUUUAAAUAAAUAAUAUUUAAAUAUAUUAUAUAACUUAAAUUCACCCUUUGCUUUAUAAUAUAUAUACAUACUCACGUGAUUUUUUCGUAUGUGGCUGACCCACCUAAUUAAUAAAUCUUCAAUAUCGCUUUUUUUUCGCAAUGAAAAAAAAAAUUAGAUGUCAUUUUCAUCUAUGAGCCAAAAAUAAUGAAAAAAUAAUAGUGAAGAGUCAUUUAAAAGUCAUAUUUGUGCAGCUUUGAGUAGUUAAAGGUCAUAUUUGUGCAUUGUCAAAGUUUAGGAUCAAAUUUAUGUAUUAUGCCCUUAGAUUUUAAGCGGACGCGCCCAAUUUUGCGUGUUGAACACGCGUUUUACCACGUAGGAUCGGAGGACAUAUUUGUGCAGUUUUGAAUAGUUAAAGGUCAUAUUUGUGCAAUGUCAAUGUUUAAGGUCAAAAUUAUAAUUUGAUGUCAAGUUUAGGAUCAUAUUUAUGUAUUAACUGUUAUUUUUUUUAUAAAUAAUUUUAUGUACAGCUUUUUUUGGCAGGCUAUUAGCAUCAAAAUUUAGUGUGAUAUCAUAAAAUGUUAACAAAGUUGAGGUUUCUUUAAAAAAAUAUAUAUGAUCAUAAGAAUCGUAGCAGUAUUCCUCUAAAUGUCGACAACAGGUAAUUUAGAUUCAAUUUUAAAUUAAUUAAUUUACAUUAUAUUGAAAUUAUAUGAAAAUAAAAGGCGGAGGAGCUUUGAAGCAACUGUAAAAUUAUUUCUAUGUAAGGCGUGAUCUAGACAGAGUUUGCUCGUCCCUUCUCGAACUCCGUGAACACAACAUACUUGUAUACAUAUAACGUAACAUGGAAAUUCAAUUUCAAUUAUUAUUGUCGCACCCCAUUUUAACACGGAUCAAAAUCGAAGUACAACAUAUUGAAAACCUCAAAAUAAAAUCAGAAAGUCGCCACCUAAUUAAUUCUAUGGUGAAUUAGGACACCUAUUAUAACUAUGUGAUUUAAAAAAAAUAAAGACUUCAUUUUAAGAUCUACUUGAUAAGUGAUUCUAAGUAAAGAUUCUAAUUAUCCUAAAGAGAAGGGAUUAGACACUCUAAAGGAUCCACUAAUUAUGAUUAACGGGCCAAACUUAGAUUAGAAAUUUACGAUCAAACACAAAUGCUGAGAUUUGAAAAGGCGAGUAAUUGAGUGUGAAAAUAAUUCUUAUUUCAAAGUAACUGGUGGAGAAAAUAUUUUUCAAACUUAAAAUUGAUGGGCAAACUUUAACUUAAAAAAAAAGGCACUUUGAUAUUUGUGAAAAAUGACCAAGAUUUAAAAGCGAUCAUUUGUGAAAAAUGACCAAGAUUUAAAAGCGAUCAUUUGUAGUAAACAAAAAGGUUAACUCAUUUGCUUUGAAAAUCUAACAAAAGUGAAAUAACAUUAAAAAUAAAUAAGUAAAUAUAAUAAUAAUAUAAAGAGUGGUAAAUAUUUAAACUAUAUUAAGUUAAAUAAAAUUGAGUUCUAAUGGGUGUGUUAUUUGCAAAAUUGAAAAGGUUUGAAUAAAUUAAAGUCGUUAGUAACUACUAAGAAACUAAAUUUGAUUAGAUAAAGGUCAUUAUCUCAAAGGUAUGUUUUAACCUAUUAAAUUUUAACCGUCUAACGAUAUAAAUUAAACACCUUAGCCUAGCGAUAUGCUAAGUUUGGAGUCUAACGGAGAAAUUAGAUUUACUAAAAUGCUUAAAGAUUCAUAUUUAUUCAAAUAAGAGACAUAAAAGAAACACAAAUUCGAAAUAAUAAUGUAUGAAAUAUUAAAUGAAAAUAAUAACAAAUGUCCCCAAAGGAGAAAGGUUGAAAGAGUUAGAGAAAGACACGUAAUGCAAUUAUUGUUCACUACUCUGAUUUGAACAGAGAUGGAGUCAAGCCAAAAGACCCCAAACGCGUCCGAGUGUACGUGUGAGAUAAGAAAAGGAAAGGAUUAGAAAACCAUACUUGAAUGAAGUAAACAAGUAACUAAAAUAAUACGGUAUGAUACCCAAGCCAUUCAUUUAAGUAAAGAUUCCAUUGAUUUUCAUAAUCAACUAACAAAAGAUAAUCACCUUGAUACGCACAAAAGAAUGUUCAAAUGACAAUGGGAACAUGCUGAAUUCAUGCUCAUAUUUACCAAUCUUUUACAAUGACUAAAGAUGUCUAUUAACUUCCUAACACAAAAUUCCAAGAAUUGAGUGUUCACAAAUUCAUCUAAAGUCCUUGUCAAAUUUGACACUUUAAUUAAAUAUGACUUAGGAUCUCAAACAAAAAUUGGCCAGUAGAGUCUUGGAUUUUAUUUUUUAGUUGGCGACAUGAGUAUAACAGAUCCUAAAUACAGAUGAUUAAUAAAAGUUUAUGAAGAUAAAAUUCUUAAAACUUGGAGCAUAGAUUUUAAAAUCAACCAAACAAAAAAGUUAGAAGUCAAGCUGAAUGAUGGAUGAACACAAAGUAAUAACUUAAUCGCAUGUGUCUGUAACCCGUAAGGGAAACACCAUGGACUGCGAAGGGACAUGAGUGAAAUGACUAAUUUUAAGGUUUCUUAGUGAGUAAAAACUAGAUUACAAGUUCCAGGCAAGAAAGCAAAACACCUGUGAUCACCGACUUGCAGAAAUUGAUUUUUAGGAAAAUAAUAAUGACACUUGAACAUUCAAAAGAGAAUUUACACACUCCCUGAGAAAACCUCAAACACGAUGUAUCAUCCUAUUAGUUAUAAUUAAAAACUGCUGAGACACUUCUCUUGUGCAAAUUCCAAAAUCAAGGCUCAGACAAUCUUGCAGAAGUUCAGACUUCCAGCUUGUUUUCCUUUACUCUAGAUCUUAAACUACUGCCAUUAUUUAAGCUAAUUACUUAUACUGAAUGAAAACAAGCUGGUACAUGCUUAGCCAAAGAAAAAGAUAUUCAGUCUAGUUAAAAAUAUCUUCACACUGAGUUGUCGAACCUCUCUAAUCAUUCUAAUACCCAAAUUAACAAAAAAAAAAAAAAGACAAAGAAUUUCAAUAUACAGUGAAAUAUUUUCUAAACUUAAGGCUUGUAUGACCCAUUUUCAUGCUAAAUUGCAUGUUUGAAAAAUCACUUUUAAGUAAACGGCCAUCUUUAAAAAAAUGGCAACAGGUGUCAUAUUCAAAUGUUCAAGCAAAAGAAGGCACAAAAUCCCACUACGAACAGCCAAGCAUUUGCAAAGUUUUGACCCCCUUUUAAAAAAUGGAUAGAUUUUAAUUUCAGCGUCGUCUUAAUCGAGUUCAAAGUAACAGGAAAAUGCAAAGCUCAUGGCCACCCAAAAUGAUUCUGUACAUAGCUAAUAGCACAUAAGAAAAAUUUCCAUCCAAACUUUAAAACGUAAGCUUAUAUGAAAAUGUGUCAAUCACGUUAUGUUAUUCAAAUUCUUUUAUGAAACAAAAGAGCAAUUUUGGGCACCAGAUGAUAUAGUCUCAUUGGCCGGUGAUUACUUCAAAUGGAGCUAUUCCUAUUACCCACCGAACUGAAGGAAUAGAAGGGCUAUUAGCUACUGAAUUCUCACACUCCUUCCUUCAUAAGGUUAAAUUGACCUCUUGGAGAGUUUGACAACUCACUUCCACAAAAGAAAAGUUGAAAAGAUAUGAAUGAAAAGUGAUGAUGGUGAUGGAGAGACAGAGAUAAAAGAAGAGAAGAGAGGUGGUGACCACCAGAAUUUGCCAUUAUUCGGUGGUCUAAUCGUUGGUCGGCAGUCAAAGGAGGGUAGCCAUGGAUAGACGGUAAAUUUAGUUGUGU
rnacentral:lncRNA from 1 species